ACAGGCCAACCCUAAAUUGUAUCCCCCUCCCUACCGCCUCCAUUCAUGGUUUUACUGUUAGAUUAGAUUUGGGUGUGAUGAUCAAAGGAAUUAUACAGUUAUCCCUGUCUGAUAUAUUCAGUGCUGAAAGUUCUCCUUUCGUUUCUGACCCAUGACAAUAUUUUAUUUUUGUCAAAGAAAAGUAUUGCCUAUGAUGACAUGUAUAUAGAUAGCCACGGAGAUGCUAGUUUUAUGACUAGUUUCGAUGUUGAUUAUGGCAUUGACUAGGACGGUCUGAGGCUUAUUUUUCAUAUUUGUUUGUUUGUUUGUUUUGUAUAUAUGAAGGCAGAUGAUGUGUUUUUCGGAGAUGAAUACUCAAAAUUUUUGAGUAUUAUGAUUCUCAUCUGAAUAGGAAGAUCUGAUGCUUCUUUUUUAACAUUGCUUUUUGCCUUAUGGAUGAUGAGAUAAGCAAUUCACAGUUAUCCCUGUCUGAUACGUUAUGAUGAAUGCUUGUGAUCUGACAUGUCUAUCUUCAUUAUGAUACGUCAUACUAAUUAUGCCUGGAAACAUACAUUACUUGUUCAAGUUUGUUUUGAUGCUGGGACUGUAAUAAUUUCAUCAAAUCCACUUUUAGCGUAUGACAAAUCUUUGAUGGUGAAACAUGACAAGCUUUGCUUAGAGUAUAUUUAUUCAGAUCGCAGCUCUCAGGUAGUGAACUGUUAAAACGGAAUACAUGAGUUCAUUAACAUUCUCACAUAAUCCACUUCUGAAUGUUAGUGUUAUACUGUUGGCAACAUGUUUAUGCGGCAAAUAUAACACAAAACUAUACUUGUGUGACACUUUUUAAAACAGAAAUAUAAAACUUUGGUCCAAUUAUUACCACAUAAAUAGCAGGCAGGCUUAAUUAAAUCAGUCAUAAGCAUAUGUUUUGUAAAUUAAAUAAUGACAUGUGGUGUUUGAAUCAAAAAAUUUAUUAUAAAAAGCAUUCCAACGAGAUGAAUGGUGAGUUUUUCUCUCCAUCUAGUUUGGUAUGAGAAAGAUGAAUAUAGUUUUACUGAAAAUUAUGAAUUCCGUUGGAAAAAAUCUUAUCUAAAAUAUUUUUCUAAAUAUUGAAUACGUAUAUAUAAGAAUUAAACCUUGUUGGAACAAAUAAGGUUGUUCAAUUGGAACAAAUGUAGGUUAAAGAAUUUUAAAUGAAAUAUACUAAUAGUUUUUAAUUUUAUUAUUAGUCAGUACACAUUUUUAUUGAUGUUAAAAUUUAUAUAUAUUUAAUUAUUUUAUUUCUUACUUCAUAAAAUAUUUAUUUUAAUUUCUUUUCACUUAAAACUUUUUUUAAUUAAUUUAUCAUCUUUUCACUUUUAAGUAUUUUUAAAAAAUUAGGUGUAUUUUUUUGAAAAUAAUUUAAAAGUGUCAUUUAUUUUAAUAUUUUAAUUUUUCAUGUUUUAUUUGUUAAAUACAACACAUUUGAAAUCAAAUCAAAAGAAAAUAAAAUCAAUAGAAAAAUAAAAAAGAAACGAUGAAUAUAGGUAACAAGAUGUUUCAUUACAAGGUAAAAGGAUGUGUAUCCAUUUAAUUUAAAUACAAGAUAAAGAAAAUAAGAAUAUUUUUUUAAAAAAAAUAAAAAUUUAAGUAUUGCAAAAAAAAAAUUAAGAAAAAAAUUAUUUUUAAUUAAAAAAUAAUUAAAAAAAAGAUAUGACGGAUGAGUGUGUACAAUACAAUCAACUUGGGUGAUUAAAGGUGUCACUUCAGCACAAAAGUUGCACAAAAAUAUAAAAAAAAAUGAAUUUGGAAGGUGGAAGGAUAGAAUCUUCGUCAAGUUUAAGUAUGUAUGUCUUUUUUUUGAAAAAAUCGUAGAAAGUUAUUUUUUAAAAAAAAUAAACUAGGAAAAACUUAUAAAAACCAAACUAAGUAACCAUAGACACGAGGCCUCCACAAAAUCAAGUAAACUAACUACAAGUAUCCUUGACACUUGAGAGUUUUGCUAGACAGGUCUAAUCUCUCAACUUUAACUAGGAUAAAGCACUCCACCUAUUCGUGGACUUUAGUUAAGUGUAUAACUGUGGAAAAGUCUUUUUAAUUUAUGAAAAAAGUUCUUUUUUCAAAUAUUAAUAUAACUGAGGCUUCUAGUGACUACUAGAUGAUUUUAGGUCUUUGCUCUUUAAUUAGCUUUUACUUAAUUAAGUUUAAAAUUAAAAGAUAUUGUAAUAAAUGCUCUAUAAACAUAACCUAUACAAACACUACUAUUAAAUAGUUAAGAUCAAACAAUACAAUAACAAGGUUUUAGGUGUCUUUUGGUGAAAAAUUAAAGUAUCUCUUCAAAAACAUAUUUGUGAAAGAAAUAUAUUAAUAAAACUAUAUAUUGAGGAGAUAUUAUAAAAAUAAUAAUAAAAAAAAUUAAUCGAACCGUACCAUUACAAAAGAGAAACUGAUAUAAUUGAAUUUUAAAAAGUCUAAUUUUGAUUAUACAUUACAAAUUACCCAAAAAAUUGAGAUGGUAUAAUUUUUAAAAAAUAAGCGAUCAAACCGUACUAUUGGCCCUCCUACUAGAUGAUACACACAUAUACAUACUAACUUUCUACCUUCAUUUUUUCCUCUACCCUUUUCUGUUUAAGGUCAGUACAUUAUAUAUAAAUUCAAAUUUUACCAAACCAUCAUGACAAUACAUCUAUUCAUAAUAGAAGUUCAUUUUAAAAAUAAUUUAACACUCAAAAGCACUCUAAAAAUCGGAUGCACACAAAUUACCACUUGAUAUAUCAUUCUUUCAGUUUUAAUGUUUGACUUGGUUGGAUUAACUAAAAAUAGCUUCUUAUAAAAAGUGUCAUUAUUUUUUAAACAGAUUAAAAGCAAAAAAAAAACCUCAAUAACCGAAACUCUUUUUGGCAUGCAGCCCUUUUCAAAAUAAACCAAUUCUGAAAGUUUCACCUAAAACAGGUGGUUUAAAAUUUAUAAAAAGCAUCUGCACCCCUCCCAAAAGCACUGUUUGGGUCAGUACACUCUACUCUCUACUGGCUUCAAUAUCUUUUUGGCAGCACAACCAUAUCCUCCCGCUUAAACUAUAGCUAUAUAUAAUCCAGCGAGGGUGAGUAAUUGCUGCAUUGGAUACAAAAAUCAAAACUAUUUAAGUAGUACCAAUAAUACAAGUAAAACAUGAAAACAACAAGAUAUUAAAAAGAGAAAAUACAUAAUAAAAAAAACCUUUGAACUUGGCACCAAUACUUACUAUUUUUAAUGAUAUUACGAAUUUUGAGUAAAUAAAGGUUCGAAGCUUAACCAAUUUAGCUAAUCCAUAAUUUACCCAUAUUUUUAUGGGUUGAAUACAGGUAUCAACCCAUAUAAAAAAUAAUUCACCCAACCCAUUAAAAUAUGGGCUCCUUUUGCCGGCACUACUCACAACUAUGUAGCAUCUAUGUUUUUUUAAUAAAGUAUAUUAGUUUCAAAAUAACAGUAAAUAACUCUUAGUGUAGUGACAUAACACUCCCACUAUUAUCUUGGUUGUACCCCUUCUCUAAUUUACAAAACACUUCGUCUAAACAUUCACAUUUACUAUAUUGGGAUUCCAAAUCACUUAAAUCAUUUAGAGAACUAGUAUUAAACCUCUCGAUAACAACCUUACCUUAUUUUUUUUUUAAUGUGGGUAUGUUAGGAUAGAUAUGAUUAAAAAUAAGGAUAUCCAAGACAAGGAGGGAGUGACUUCGGUGGAAGAGAAGAUGCGAAAAACAAGUUUGAGAUGAUUCGGGCAUGUGAUAAGAAGAUGCAUGCAUGCCCAGUGCGGAGAUGUAAUAUGGUUGGUUGUGGAUGGAUUCAGGAGAGUUAGAGAUGGACCAAAGAAGUAUUAGAGAAAGGGUAUUAGAUAGGACAUGGUGUAGUGCAACUCACUCAGGACAUUACCUUAGAUACAAAAGUGUGGAUGAUAUGAAUUAGGGUAGAAGAUUAAUAAGUAGGAGUGCUUUGUCUUGUAGCUCUUAUUAGUAGUCAUAGGACUACUCUUCUAGUGUCUUGUUUUUCGAUUUCUGUUACUAUCUAUUAUCUGAUGUAGUUCAUUUGUUGUAGUAUUGCUCUAUUUUUGACUAACCAGAACUCUACCCUAUAAAACAAUGUCAACCCAACCACCACUCAAUAGAAUUUAUCUUUCGUCCAUGGAAGUUUAUUUGGACGACUAAUGCUCCUCAGAAGGUUAUGCAUUUCACCUGGUUGGUAGCUAAAAAGAUAAAUUUGACUCAAGAAAGAUUGAGAAGAAGAGGAUUCCAUUUAUGUUCCAUAUGUUGGUUAUGUGAGUCUAACACAUAGAUUAAUAGCCAAUUGUUUCUUCAUUGUUCAUUAACUUAUCAGAAUACCAUUAAACACUGGAUCUUCUUAAGAGCUGAAAUAGUUUGAGAGUUAUAGUUAGACAGAAGAAAUGGCAGAAAUUGGUUUCUGCCUUUAUAUGGUUGACAGUUUCGAUUCCUUUUGGUAUACCCUUGCAAAUACGACCUGUUCGAUCUUGUUUAUGAAUGAAAGAUUUUAUUUGAUAGAAAAACAGAUAAAAUUAUGAAGUUAACUAAUAAUAGGUCCAACGUUUUGACCAAAUAUUUUUCGGUACAUACUAUGGUGAUCAAAAAACUUUUUCAUUGAAAUAUUAGUAAUGCAUUCAUCACUUAAAAGUUUAUAAUGCAUUUUUGCAGGAUGAUUUACAUGAAUGAAGUUUAUAUGCAAUUGCCUGAGGGAUUUCCAAGUCAGGGGGACUCAGUUGUAUGCAACUAGAAAAGUCCCUAUAUGGUCUUAAGCAAGCAAGUAGGCAAUGGAAUUUGAAGCUAUGUUAGGCACUUUUUCGUUCAGCUUUUAUUCAAAGUAGUUUGGAUCAUUCUUUAUUCAUCAAGAGACAAUGUUCAGAUAUAGUAGUGAUAUUGGUUUAUGUGGAUGACAUGUUGGUCACAAGAAGUAACAUGGUUCUCAUUGAACAAACAAAAGCUUCUUUACACGAGGCUUUUAAGAUCAAAGACAUUGCUGAGUUGGAAUUCUUUCUUGGAAUGGAGUUUAGCAGAUCACAAAAAGGGAUUCUGAUAAAUCAGAGAAAAUAUGCACUAGAAAUCAUCUCACACUUGGGGCUAGGAAGUGCUAAACCAGUUUGAACACCACUUGAGGCAAACAUGAGACUUACUACACAAGAAUUGAAUGAAUCAAUAGGAAGAGCAGAUGAUGAGUUUUUUGAAAACAUAGAGCAGUAUCAAAGCUUGGUAGGAAAAAUGUUAUAUCUCACAUUAACUAGAUCAGAUAUAGCUUUUUCAGUUCAAACACUUGGUCAGUUCCUACAGCAGUUAAAAAAAUCACACUGGGAGGCGGCAAUCAGGGAGAUGAGAUAUGUUAAAAGAGAACCAGAACUUGGGAUCUUGUUGAGCAUCCAUAAAACAAAUAAGUUGAGUGUUUUUUGUGAUGCAGACUGGGCAUCAUGCCCUAACACAAGAAGGUCAGUCUCAGGUUUUUUAGUCAAGCAUACUGAUUCCUUAAUAUCAUGGAAAUCCAAGAAGCAAAAUGUGGUCUCCAGAAGCUCGGCAGAGGCAGAGUAUACGAGUAUGGCAAAUCCAGUGUCAAGAGGUAGUAUGGGUGACUGUGUUGAUGAAAGAGUUAGGGAGUGAAAUAACUGAUCAGUCAUGAUCUUUAGUGAUAACAGAGCAGCACAACAGAUAGCAGCCAAUCCUCUGUUUCAUGAGAGAACAAAACACAUAGAAAUUGAUUGUCAUUUCAUAAGGGAGAAAAUACAAGAAGGUAUAGUGAGGUCAGUGCAUGUGACCUCUAAGGAACAACUUGCAGAUAUAUUGACCAAGGGACUGCCCAGAAUACAACAUGAAUAUUUGGUUGGCAAGCUAGGUGUGUUGAAUGUUUUUGCACCCACUAGCUUGAGGAGUAAUGAAAUAGGGAUAACUUGAUAAUGAUGUGUAAGAAGGGUAUUUGAGUAAUAAGCAAGCCGAGUUUAUUAGUAUAGUUAGUUAGAAAUGUAGUUACCUUAUCAAAAAAAAAAAAUACAGUUAGAAAUGUCGAGUUCACUGGUGUAUAUAUAUGCAUCAGAUUCAUUGUAUUGAGUCAGUUUUUUGUAUCCAAUAAUAAGAUCGAACACAUUUCUUCUUUCUUCUUCACUGUCUAUCCUUCAAUGGACGCUGUGUAAAUUUGACAAUUAGGGCAUAUUUGUAUUCCAUAAGCCAAAAGUGUUCCAUCUUUCAAGGGUCAAAAUUUACUAUUAUUAAAGUCGAAACCCGGUUAGAACAACGGAAGGUGACUUAGAACACUUCCAGUCAUGAUGGGGUUUGCACGAGGGAUCAACCUUUAGUUUGUUACUAUUUGCCCAAGUGAUGGACGAAUUCAGAUGACACAUUCAAAGGCAGGUGUUGUAACGUAAGCUAUUCACAUAUGACAUAGUACCAAAUGAUUAGAAACAAGUUGGAGUUAACCAUAAGCUGGAAGUUUAGCGACAUGCUCUAGAGUCAAAAGGUUUCAGGUUAAGCAGAACUAAAAUAAAGCACCUGAAGUUCAAGUUCAGUGACGUGAUGCAUUAGACAGAGGUGGAAGUGAAGAACGAUACGCGAUUCAUACCAUGAAAAGAAGUUUCAAGUAUCUUGAGUCCAUAAUCUAGGGAGAUGGUGAGAUUGAUGAUGAUGUCGCACAUCGUAUUGGAGCAGGGUGGGUGAAAUAAAGGCUCGCAUCCGAGGUGUUGUGCAAUAAGAAUGCAUCGCCAAGGCUUAGUGGUUAAAAAAAGAAUUUAAAAAAAUUGGUAUUAGGUAUUGAGAAAACUAGGGCUGUGCUGCAACUAUAUUUGUAGACAAAAAUCACCACAACCAAACAGAAGCCUAGAACUCAUUCAUGGUAUCCUAUCACUUCUAUCAAAUCCAAUAAAGAAAAUUCCUCCUCUAAGAAACAUUCUUUAUACUAAAAGUGGAACAAAAAUAAGCACUUUAUCUUAAUAUCCUGCUGCUUCUUACUUUUCAUCUCUUCUUGAGAAGAGGGUCUAACUGAAACAGUCCCUACCUUGCGGGAUAUACUGGGUAUGUUGUUGAUUGUUGCUAUUAUAGGUAAAAAGUUGUUAUAGAGGUAAAAUAUAACAUAAAAGAUAGGUUCCUAGAAAAAAAUGGCUUUUAUAGUGAAGUGUUUUUAUACAAGGAUGAUGUAUAGAGAGGUCUGUUCUUUAAUCUAAUAUGACUUAAUUACUUCCACUUCACCUUCUUAUAACAAUUUGAACUAAGACAUUGAAAUUGAUAAUCAAACAAGCUCAGAAUCACUUCAAAAAUUUUCUUUUUCAGAUUAGCCUUCUGUCCCCGUUCCUGAUACUGCGGAAGGUGGAGUCGCAUAAUUGUGUGCAACCAAACAUGUCAAUAUGACAAAAAUUAAUGUGCAACUUCAGCAUAUAAUAUCAGAUGUCAUUGUAGCUAGAGUACCUACCUAGAUUGCCAUAAAUCUCAAUAGAGCCCCAACAUUCUUAGCUCUGUAACGUGAUUAGGAUCAAGUACUGGGACAUCUUUCGUUAACCUUUCCCGAUCUUCUACCACAUAUUCCUGUCAAUACAACAAUAAAAGUGUAAGCAAAUUAAAUAUGUGGAUGGGUGGUGGGGGGCCUUUGGUUUUGCAAUAUAUGAACAUUUGAUCUCCAUAAAAAUUCCAUAUCAAUUAAACAACAUUUGGUUUACGAUACAUUUAGUACCGGAAACCAAAUAUUAUCAGUACAUAUAUUAAAUGAGCUAUGCAGCAUGCAGAAUUUGAAACCAGAAACCAAACAAAUGUAUACAAAUUUCGGUACACAAGAAUCUAUGAAUAUAGAAUGUAGGAUAUGAAAACCUGUAUAAGCAUACAUGGAUAUGAGCAUCUAACUACAUUAACAAUCCAUGUAUCUAUAUUCAUCGCAUUCCUACUUAUUCACCCCAUCAAUCCUUGCAUAGUUAUUCACCGUAUAAUUAAUCUCGGACCAUAAUUCUCGUAUAACUAGGCCAUAAACCAAACAACCCCAUUACUAUUAAAGUUGAAAGGGACGAGGCAUAAACAAAAUAAUGCCAAAGUCCAUGAUGCAUAAGCAUGUCUGUGUCUUAGCAGUAGAUGCAACACCUUCGUCAGUUCUUUUUUGGCAAGGACAUGAUAAUGGCGUUCACUAAUUCUCUGUCCACAAAUUAUUGCUAUGAAGAAACCAUAAAGCAAACCCACCAGUACAAUUGCCAAAACUGCAAUCAAAGAAGACAUAUUAGUCGGCAAGUUAAUAAGCAGGGUAAAGGCUCACAAAUCAUUUUGAAGGGCACAAUAAAGCACAGGAACACAUCUAAUCCACUAAACAUUAUUAGAAAGGAUGCAUUGCUGCAUCAGACCGCACACAUUUUCCUUUGUCAGUCUUCUCUUCUUGAUAAACAUCCCAUACUAUCAAUUAGAUCUAAUAUGAUUCAGAAAAAUAAGAGAGUGUUAUAUCUUGAUUGCAAAUGAUCACUUAAAGAUACAGGAGGUACUGCAUCCAACCAUAGAACAGUAACAUUACUGUAAAACUUACCAUUGAUUCAACACUACUGAAUAAGAAAGAAAUACGAGAACCAUAAGACCUACAUCUGAGAAUUGUUUUUUCCUCUUGUUCCUGUAUUCUCUUGAACUGGUUGACCAGAACAUUUCAUCGCAUGAUCACCUCACAUAAUGGUUAAAUAUUAGAAUAUUGUAUAUUGCAAUCAAUGUAUCCAAGUGUAUAAACAGGUCUUUGUGAUAAUAACCAAGACCUCACUAAAAACAGAACAGUGUACUUGAUAGUAUCCCAACAUAUAAUAUGUCACUACAUCCCAUAUCUAGUAAGGCUUUGAAGCAACUGGACAAAACCAGAAGGAAUUUUCUAUGGAAAGGGAAUAACAAAAGCCAUAAAUUCCAUUUGGUCAAGUGGCCAAUAGUCUUGUUACCAAAAAAGUUAGGCGGGCAUUAGAGACUUAGCACUGCACAAGAAAUCCCUACUUAUGAAGUGGUUGUGGAGAUACACUCAAGAGGAGCAUAACCUUUGGAAGGAUGUGAUUAUUGCUAAACAUGGAGCACUAAACCACUGGUGUUCUAAUGUUUCAAUGGCUCCAUAUGGAGUUGGUGUCUGGAGAAGUAUAUCAAAUUAUGGGAGGAGUUCUCUCAACACAAACACUUAAUUGCAGGGAAUGGACAAUAUAUCAGUUUCUGGAGAGACAAAUGGAUAGGCAACUCCUCCUUAAUGGUAAAUUAUCCUAACAUGUUCCGGAAGAGUAUCUGAUGUAUUGAAAUGUUGGAAUAGUGAUACCAACCCCUCCAAUCAGAAAGAGAGAUGAAAAAUUGUCCCGGCUUGUAUUUGGUGGAUUGUCUGGGGAGAAAGAAACAAAGUUUGUUUUGAAGACAAAGCCAUUAGUAUACAGAAACUAAAGUUGAAAUGUUUAGGACUUUUCUUUUUCUGGUGUAAACAUAGCUUAAUGGAGGAGUUCGAAUCAGCUAAUGAUGUACUCGACUCCUUAAGAGAAGAUUAAGGACUAGGAGCUCUUUUUUUUUUUGCUCAUCUGGAUGUAAAUAUGGGGGACUACACACCCUUUGUGUAGUUUGCUAUUAAUACACAAAAAUGUUACCUGUUCAAAAAAAAGACUAAUAAUAAUGUACUUAUAAGUAGAAGAGGGAGCACAAUGUGCUCUAAGCCAGAACCAUGCUCACCCACUGGAAAGAGAAAAAUUGCUUGACUACCUACUCUAACCCUCAACCCUAUUCUCAACCUCCCUGCUUUCCUAUCUAGGACACGUCUUCCGUGAGCGAAGACAUGUCAUGUCUAAUCAUUUGAUAUAGCUAAUCAAAUCAAAAGAUCCCUUUCUGCGCACCAGCUGAAAGGAGAUUGUGCUCUCUGCUAUUUCUGUCAAACCUCUGAGCCUUUGAAUAUGGUGAGUGUUCCUAAUACAUAUAAAACCUACUGCAAGUCCAAGGAGCGUAAAAAGCACACCUUGCAUAAGGUCACACAAUACAAGAAGGGGAAAGACAGGUUGGCUGCUCAGGGUAAGCACCCUUUUAACAGGAAGCAGUCUGGUUACCAGGUCAGACAAAGCCCAUCUUCCACCAAAAAAGGCUAAGACCACAAAGAAGAUCGUGAUGAGGUUGCAAUGCCGAGGCUGCAAGCAUGUCUCACAGCACCCAAGCAAGAGGUGCAAGCAUUUUGUAAUUGGUGAGGACAAGAAAGGAAAGGGAACCUCUCUUUUCUAGAUUGCCUGUGAAGUCACCAAGAACUUCCUUUUCUUUGCCUUCUCUUAUGUUGCAAUGUUGAACUUUGGUUAUUUUGGAUGUUGGUUCUGUUAUGUUACAUUGUCUUAAAAUAGAUAAUUUUCCGUUAUGAUAGUUAUAUGAAGAUCCUAUCAAAAAAAAAAGAAGAAAACUUGCAAACACUAGACCAAAUAUAACUAAAAAUGUGGAACUUAUGCACGGGAUGGAGAUCUUGAGCUGGGAACAAAACUAAGAACAGUCCAUCAAAUUAAACUGCUCAAUAAUCUGCUGAGGACUUAUAGUGGAAUUAAUUUUUUGUUUUGAGAUAAGGGUAACUGACUUAUAGUGGAAUUAAUUUGAUUCCAACAAAAUGGCAUUACCUAUAUGACUCCCUAAUUUCCUCUGUGAUUUGUUCUUCACGAAGUCCACAAAGAAAUUAUGUAUUAAACUGUUGAAAAGGCAAAACUUCUCUUUUCAUUGUGCAAUAGGUGAUUAAUAUUGUUAUAUCAGAUUCAUUGCCAUCAUGUUGAUUAAUUUUUUUAUCAAAGUGGUGUCACAAUUGCACAUGGUUUUGAUAAUUAACAUCUCAAAUGAUAUUUAAUCAUAAAAAAGUUAACAUCUCAAAUGAUAGCAGGUGGGUACAACAGUUCAUGACUUCAGAUCAACAAGGUUAUUAACAAGACAGCAACCAGGCAUUACCUAUCUAAUUCACCCCUGUAGAAGUAUAAUCUCAUUGAUCAGUUCAUGGUAAGCGUUUCCUCUCUCCUAGAGGCAGGAAUCGGUUUUAUAUAUCUUUCCGUUGAAUGCGGCAAAGUAAGGCCAGCUUUCUUGAAAGCAAAACAAAGAACUAGACUAACAACUGAGAAGCUACCAGCACCUUUUCCUUUCGACCGACAUAGUAAUUCCACCCUAUUCCCCAAAACUGAAUUAUUGUUCUUCCCCCAGUGUAUUCUUUCCAAAAAUACAUUCAAUAGUAUCUAAAGAUGUUUAGUCAUUUUAUUAGUGUAUUCUUUCCAAAAAUACAUUCAAUAGUAUCUAAAGAUGUUUAGUCAUUUUAUUCUCCUAAACACAAAUCAAGGCAUUUACGACUUUUUCCAGAAAGAAGAAACUGAAAGUGAAACAAAUUCUCCCACAACCAAACGGUUUCUAAACCAAGCAAACCUAGGACGAAUUUAAGAAGCCGUUUGAUGGCACAUAAAUCUUCACAUCAACAAGGACUAUACAGCUAGAGUUUUUAUAAAGGUCAAUGAUCAAAACUUCAUAUAUAAUUACAUUUUUUGACAAAAUGACGAUGUAACCAAAACGUGAUUUGUAAACCAACAAGCAUAGCAUUUAAUGGCCACAAGUUCUAACGAAGGUUAAUCUGAUGAUCAAGUCAGAAAAUACCUGCCAUUGUAUAAAAGCCAUAUGGAUGCUCUCGGUAGCCAAACAUUUCCCUUAGCUCCUCUCCGUAGAAUUUGUAUACAAGUACACCUAAGAAUGCUACAAUCUGUGAUAAUUGUUCAUUCAACAAUCAGCAAGGACUGUUACUGGAAACAAUUGAUAUGCAUGGAAACAGUCGUAUCAUUAUACAACAUCAAUAAGUUGCAAUCAUACAGAAAAAAACUCCAAGACUUAUAUGUAUCUCAUUGGGUCCUAGGUUUAGCUUUCCUCCCUAGGUUUUGUACAUUCUAUGAUCAAACACAGAUUCACUUCCGAGCUUCUUGGCAUAAAUAACUUUGGAAACUCUUUUGACGUGAUAAUAGGAAAGACUAGAAGGAGCGAUGCCUGGUCCAUGAUAAAGAUGACAGAAUUGCACAAUGAUUUUUGCCCAACCAAGAGGUCUAACCUUAUGGAAGAUCUCUGAAAGGAAAAGGACGGUCUCGCUCUAACAAUAGACUGUGUAAGGGCAUGGGAAGAACUAGGGGGGUGCAAAAGGGUUCAUCUGAUGUCCAAACCCAUACAAGGUCAAACUUAAUUUUUUAAUUUAUAUAGUAGAUGAUGAAUCCCCCAGCAUUUUCAUGCAUUUACUUAUUUCACUUUUGAAUCCCUUAGUGAAAAUCAUGACUUCGCCACUGAAUAAGGGGGCAUAUAUUUUUUAACAAAAUGGACAGCUUUGUAAAAAAUGAAUUCAUAGGAAUUGGAGGGCCAAGUGACCUAGUAUUACACAAUGUAUUUGCCAGUUUAGCUAUGUUUCAUUUAUCUACAUUAGUUGAAAUAUUGAACAGAUGAGAGAAACCAGAAAAAAAAAUGUAAGAAAUUUCAAGGUCUUUAACCUUUUAAACCUACUUAUAACAAACACCUAUGCAGCAAAACUGAUCCAAUAUCAAACAUGGAUAAAAGCAGGACUGCAGUCGGUUGACCAACAUAGAAAAUAGUCUUAACUGUAAUGCAUCUUAUAAGUUUGAUGGACCCAAAGAAAUCAUAUAACUGAUCCUAGCUAAUUUUGAUUGAAGCAUAAUCGAGUGAAUGCAGGUGAAGAAUCUUUUGAAUAUUGGGCACACUAUUUCACCAUGAAAUGAAUCCCAUGCCCUUUUAAAUGAAAUUUGUAAACAUACCACAAUACUAAAGGAAAAGGCUAUGGUGGUAGACCCCAAGGAAGAUACUCUUGCUCACACCUUAGCCGAAAACCAUUAUUAAAGAAUUAAUUCUAAAAAAAAAUGCUAGUACAUGCAUGUAUUUUACUUUAUCAAAAAAAAUAAAAAAUAAAUAGAUGUCAGGCAUCUGCUUUUCUUUUAAUGAAAUUGUGCAGUCUGGAAAAUCUUUAGUAACCACAAUUAAAUAAGAACAACAAUGAAUUGGCUCUAGGCUUCAAACUUAACUCAUUAACACUCCCAAAGCUCCGUUUUGAACUAAAAAAGAAAAAGGUGCAAACAUUCAAGAUAAUCUUAUGCUUCGCAGUAAGUGUGAAGCUCUUCUAAUUUGAGAAACUUAUGGGGGCUUUUGUUGACGGCCAUCAAUGUCUUCUUGUUCAUUAUGGUAAAACCACCAUCACAAGCAUAGUUAUUUACUGAUGGCAGUACAGAAGAAACAUAUCCUGUCACAUUGCAAAUCUAGCUUUGGACUAUUGAAUUAAGGUUUUAAACAAGUGGUAAAUAAAUAUAAAGCAAGAAGAGCAUAAACGAGAAGUACAGCUACAUCCAACUUCUGUGCCAUAAACUAUACACCACCUUUGAACUACACUACUGGUAGGAACAUAAGACAGAAUGGAAAAUCUCGCUAAAAGAAAUUAUGUCCAUACCAACUGGACAACGAGAAAAAUGAAUGCAUGGUCUCUUGCCACAAGGAAUUGAAAUUUCAAUCUCAACCACCAGCGAUCAGGUGGGACAUUUGCCCGUAAUAUGAACUUUGCCCUGCAUUCGGUACAGUGAGCAAAAGCAAAUCCCUCCUAGAAAAUGGAGCCACAAACACAUUAAUAACAUUAAGAAGAUGACAACAUGUCUUAUACAAAGUACAACCAUUAAUGAAAAUUUCAAUGUAUGUUGUUACUUUAUCUUCAAAGAACGGCUGUUAAUGCCAAAAAUUCCAAAUUCAAUGAACUAAUGAGAUGUCAAUUGAUAGCUAAUAAUAUUGAUCCCAAAUUACUGCAAUGAGAAAGCAAGCAACCUGAUUUUAAAAAAAUAUACAUAACCCAAAGACUCAAAAUAGUUCAAUAAAGGAUAGUUUCAAAUACUAUCUCCACAGAUACAUGGAGGGAAUCUUGAAUAAGAUGGGAAUAAAUCAUAAGACAGGAGAAAAGGAAAAAGAAAUAGAGUAUAGCACCUAAAAAUAAAAAUAAAGAAAAUAACACUCUCAUUGCAUCUAGUAAAACUGAAAGGAUCUCACAAACAUGGAAUUAACACUUCGUGAGAUUGUUUAUCACCUCCUUCAAUGGUAUAAGGGCUAACAAGCAUAAAGUACCUUGUUUACGUUCAAGGGUUACAUAGAUAAAUAUAAACCACAGAUGCGCUAUGAGCAUAGAGUAUUCUAUGGCAUACUAGUUCUUCUUAAUGGAUAACUUCGUAUAUGCUUUCCAGAUACUCUAACUUCCAAUGUAAACUACUACAUGCAUUAUGCAUUUCUUGGUGAUCUUUUGAUGCAAACUAACUAUACAUCAGUCUGAGUUUGAUGAGAAUAAAAUUUAAAAUUCUCCAACAGAAUCUAAUUUUCUGGCUACUUCUAGGACAUGCGACUGACCAUUCGUAGAUAACAUGUAUAUAAGUUAAUUCACCUUAGUUGAUCUCCAGUUAUCGAGACAUGAUCUAUGGACAUACUUUUGUGUUCCUUUACAAUGGCAGGGUGCAAUCAGAUCUUCUCCUGAAAAAAAUUUACCAAAUUCAAGCUGUUAGUGCAGUAACGAAGUAUAAUUCCGAGGAUAUAUGUAAUCACAAUCAUGUAGCUGAAAGCAACAAAUUCUCAUCAUAUCUUCCUUAAUAGUUUACACAAAACUAAGUGCACAAUCAACACCUUCACUGUCCAAGCAUAUGCGACAUUGGGACAGUUCAGCAUGUGAGAAAGAUUGAAUUUCAUAGACUCCAACACUUGGCAGGUCACCAGCAGUCUCCAAACAAUCCUCAGUAAUUUCAGUUGAAUGUGAAGUGUCCUCAGAUUCCUCAACAACCGAAAUCUGCGAUAAGAUGGGCUCUGUUUCUGAACUAUCCACUACCAGGCUAUCAUUUGACACUAUUCGCAUCGCGAGAAAUCUUGACUCCAAAUUAUGCUGUAAAUCUCAUCACUGGGGAGAUUGUCCCUACAGACCAUUUCAGUAUAGACGGGAAAAACUGCAAACAGUAAAAUAACUGAGAAGAUCAGGAAUUUGAAGCCCACUUAUAAAUGCAACUGCUUAGGUUCGACUGCUCAGGAACAGCAGCUGAUUGAAUAAUAUGCACAGCAGCAACACCACUCUAUACAUAUGGAUGCUACGAUCUCUGCUAAAAUACCAUCUAGUUAUUGCUGGAAAUGCUUCAUGGGCAUUAUAUUUUCGUGAGAUGAUCUGUUCUCAUAAAAUACAUUGCCAUCAUUGAAAUAAGAAUUACAAAAUCAUUACGAUACAAUGACCUUGUAGCUGCAUAAAUUUUGACUAUAUUAUAAUUUAUAAGCUUAUCAAAGAACCCUGAGAUGAUAAGAGUACAUACAUCUUCAGCAAGCAAGAAUUUCACUUUUCUUUGAACAUUUUGACCACCCGAGUGUUUCAUAUGUAGAAUUAUGCAAGGCCAGCCUAUAUGAUGAUAUGAAUUUGUCUAGAUGAAUAUAGAUAUCUUGUGACAGACAUUAUUUUGCGUCAAUGGAAUUCAUUCUAUGUUUGUAAAGGGAUCAAUUGGGAUCUGAGCUUUAGAAGGAAUAUGCACGAUUGGAAAGUGAAUGAUCUGGUAGACCUUUUUGCUAGACUACAACACUGUCACAUUAAUCUCCAGGCAGCUGAUAAGCUCAAAUGGGUACACCAGAAAGGAGUUUAUACUGUCAAGGAAGGGUAUCAACAGUUGUGCUCUAGAAACCCCGUGAUAGCUAACUGGCCCUGGAAACUCAUUUGGAGGACCAAGCUAUCACCUAAGGUAGUCUUUUUUUACCUGAAUAGCUCUAUAUGAGGCAUCCCUCACCCAAGACAACAUAAAGAAAAGAAAAAUCCAGUUCCUAAACAGAUGCUAUAGGUGCAAAAAAGAGGCUGAAACCCCCAGACACCUUCUUCUUCAUUGUGAGGUGGCCAGAAUUAUGGAACAUGUUUUAUUGUCUCUCUGGCAUCAAUUGGACCACACCCCUCACAGUCAGUUAAGGAUGCAUAUGAGAGUUGGAUCCUGUGGAAAGUUGACAAAGCCAUCAAGAAGAUCUGGAUUAUGAUACCUGCUUGUAUUUUUUGGUGUAUUUGGUUAGAAAGGAACAAGAGAUGUUUUGAUGCAGAGUCAACUGCUUUAGGCAUUUUGAAGACUAGGUGCAUUGCAAAUUUGUUUACUAGGUCCAAAUGCCAGAGAUUUUUUUGCAAGCUCAAAUGCCAUAUCUUGUAAAUUUUGCAUCUUCCUGAUGCUGUUAUUUUUACCACUUAUCUUAUCCAAAAAAAGAAAAGAAAAAAGAGAUAUCAAUAACGGAAGAGAACAAUUUUAAUUUACAACAAAUUCAUUUAUUUUUUCACCUUAUUCUCUAAGGGGAACAUAUUUUAGAAGGUAAUUUGUGAAUUUGUUGUACAAGGCUCAGGGCAAAGAACGAAAGAAGCAAAGAUGCUGCGAGCAGUCAAAGCACACUCAAUACCUCAAAACAAUAGCUGAGCGGUAGCAAGUGACGAAUGUCUUUCUGGAUAAAUGGCACGUCAACUACAGGAAAAGGUAACAAUUCAAUGUGGUGAAUUGCUUGACCUCGUCAUGGUGAUAUUAACUCUUUGUACCAUUAUGUGCAGUGAUAAUAGCAGGAGAGUUUGAUGGCGAGAGAGAAAUGUCGAGGGACAUUGUGGAAAAAUUGGUAUAAACUAAUUAAAAAAAAAAAAAACUGCUACGUAGCAAACCAAAAGGCCUAGGUAGGGGUUGAGAUAAUAGAACAAGCAAUAAGUUAUCCAGAAAUUGAGUCCAAUACACAAGGAAUCGAAUGGGAUCUUGUAUUAAGCAAAUUUAAGCUAAGAAACAAAAUGAAUCCAAACUAAAGAACAAAGCUCGGUGAUGUAGAGGGAUAAGACUAACCUGAUAUAUCUUCAGGAGUAGUUGUUGAUCGGGAGAUGCUUCGACGAAGACAUUGGCCAAGUUGACGAUGAAAAGGAAGGGAAUAACAAUCUGAUAAUAGCCGGAGGGCGGUGGCGAAGCUUGGAAGAUCGGCACCAAAAGGGGCCUGGAAUUUGGAAUUUGGAACUCGCAAACGACAGGACACGACGGGACUUUUCCAAUUAUUGUUUUUCAUCGCUUUUUAAAAAUAAAUUAAAUUAUAUUUUGAUAUUUCAAAUAAAAACAUAUUUAAAAAUUGUUCAAAAAAUAUCAUUAAUUAUAAUUUCUUGUAUAUUAAUAUGAGAAAAAAAAUAUACCGUAAAAUAUUAAUUAUAAUUUUAUAAUUUGACUCUAAAAAAGAUAUUAUAACGCCCCAAAACAAACUAAGAUGAACUAAAGCCUCGUAAGGAUUUCAUAAGUUAAUUUGAAGUUAAAAUGAGUUACUUUAGUGUUCUUAGGCAGUGUGUGAAGUUUGAUUAAAUUUUGAGGUCAAACGUCCAAGAACGUCCAUGACGUUCGGAAGGUGUGCCUUAGAUAACACUUGUGUAUCUCUAGGUGUUUGAGUGAGUUUUAUGUGUUCGUUUUACUUGAAACUUGCAUGAGAUGUUCCUAAGACCUAGAUAUCCUUAACCUAUAGUUUAAAGUGUUUAAAAUCCGUGGAGGUUAUGUCUAGCACCGAGAGGAUAUGAAGAAGAGGAAAUUACACUUCUUGAGUUGAGAUGUUGUAUUCCAAUGUACCCCUUGAGAUGAGUACUCCUCGCGAGUAGAUAAUGAGUUACUUAGUAGCAAUCUCCUAAUCCCUUAACUAUGCGCUCGCAUAGGUGUAGCCAUUGGGAAAGCCAUGUAAAAGCUGAAAAGAAUGACCUUACUUUAUGCAAGUGAGGAUCCCUCAUCCGAUAGGGGUUAUUGUCGGGAUUUCAUGUCUAGCUUUCAUGGUCUAUGUCGGUUAAGCUAAACCCCACAAAAGAAUUGAUUGAACUAAGUCUUCUAAAAGAACGUACUAGUUAUGGUAGGUGGUGGUAUGAGACGCUCAUUGCACAAGGUAGGACCUUCCGAAAGGGAAGACUUGGUGUCAAACCUUCUAAAAGAAUGUACUACUUAGGGUAGGUGGUGGUAUGAGACGCUAUCUACUCAUUGCACUAAGUAGGCAUUCCAAAAGGGAAGACUUUGGUGGGUUUUUGAGUGUCUUUUAAUGUCUUGCCAUUGGUUGAGGGGCUUGUUUCUUCCGAGUUGAGUAAGUCGAAAGGGGUAGCCUUGAGAAUUGCUUUGGUGUGUAUUCAAGGAGGCAUAUGCAUACUUCCUUCAUGUCUUAACUUAGUGAGUCUUAGGAUAAUCCCGAGGUAGGCAAACUCUUACGAAAAAUCAGUUCACUUUCUCUUUCACUUGGCCUUGGAAGUUCACUCAUUUAGAAUAGGAUAGUUCAUUUAAUUGCUUAAGUAGAAUUCAUUGUAAAUGCUUGAAAUGCUUCGUUGUAAUGACUUAAAUCUGUUCACUGUAAAUGGGCAUCUAGUUACUGUAAAGUUUUGAAAAUUUACUGUAAAUGGUCUUUUUUGGUUUAAAAUUAUGGGAACUCUUAUCUAAGUGUUAAAUGAUGAUUCUUGUGAUGUUUUGUCUUUAUAUCCUUAAAUGUUUUACUUAAAUUGCAUGAAAUCUUAUUUUACUAAAAUGUCCCUUUUCGCAUGUUUUUGCUUAUGCCAUACUUAGUAUAUUGUUUAUACUAACCCCAUACUUUUCUAUACUCUAUAAGUAUAGGCUGAAGGCUUUUUGGUAGAUUAGAAGGCGAAGCUUGGGAAAUUCACUCUCUCAAUAAUUGGUAUGUCCUCAUAUAUUCGAGGACAUAGUCUAUCGUUUCUAGUUUUAUUAUUAAGACUUAAUAUGUAUUUGAUUUCAAUGUAAAGAGCCGUGUCCUUAAGAUAUUAUAUGUUGUGUCUUAAGUUUGACUUGUGAUGAUGAGAUUUCUUAAGUAUUUAUGAAAGAUUUCCUUUUUAUUAAUUUAUUCGUGAAAAGUUUUAAUUCCUCACUACUUUUCAUGUCUUAUGUAAUAAACGAUAGUUGGGCUUAUACAAGACCCCAAAGGUUUAAGUACGCCUUGCCACGAUUCGAGGAUUCUCCCUAACUUCUAGGGGUGCUUUCGGGUCGUGACAAAUAUCAUGACAAUUAAGUAGACGUUUGGUUAUGCGAUACCAUAUCACAAUAUGGUAUCCUGAGAUGAAAUCAAUGUUUGGACGUGCAAUUUCACGCUGAUUCCAUCUCAAGAUUCCAUAUCAUGAGAUGUGAUACCAUGUUCUCCAAAAACCAUGAUAUGGAAUCAUAUGGGAAUACCAUAUCAUUAUUUGAGUUAUUUUAAUACAAAAAUUGAUCAACGAGUUUAUAUUUUGUUAAAACAACCCUACAUUUAUAUUUACUAACCAUUUAUUUCAAUUUUCACAUGUAAAUAAAAUUUUGGGCAACUUUCACAUAUAGCAAACAUAAAAUUCAUAUUUGUAUGUUAUAGCAAAGUUUACAUAAUUGCACUCUAUAGCAAACAUAUAAAAUUUAUAAGUCUCUAUACAUAUACAAUUGAAGCGAAUUGUAUAAAACAAGAAAGAGAAAGAAACUUGUCCAGAGAAUUGUAUAAAACGAAGUGUAUUAGACGAAUUGUAUAAGUAUAAGUGUAUAGAACGAUUAUAUACAAUUUGAAUUUGUAUAACAUGAGAAGGAGAGAAAGGCAAAAGAGACUUGGGCAGGGAAUAUACAAUUGAAUCGAAUUGUAUAAAACGAGAAAGAGAAAAAUUAUAUACAAUUUGAAUUGUAUAAAACGAGAAAGAGAGAAAGGCAAAAGAAACUGGGCAAGGGAGUUUUUUUAUUGUAUAAUUGUAAGUGUAUAUGACGAAAAUAUGUGUAUUUGCAUGUUUAUAUACAAUUUUCUCUCGCUUUAUAUAAACGGAAACACAAUUUAUACAUUUCAUUUCUGUUUGUAUAAGCGAGAGAGGCGAGGGUGGCGAGUGAGAUCUGGGAGAGGGGAGAGAGGGGAACAAAAAUAUAUGUAUUUAUACAAUUUCCUCUCACUUUAUACAAAUAGAAACAUAUUUUAUACACUUGUUUUUGUAUAAAAGUGAGAGGAAGAGAGCGAGAGAGGAGAGUGGCGAACAAGAGUUUGAGGGAGAGAAGUGACUGACAAACAAUUUGCUACGGGACACAAUUAAAUCAAAGGGUGGUUAUAACAAUUAAUUUGAUUUAUUAGUUUGCCAUUAUAUACAACUUUCCCUAAAAUUUAUAAUCACAUCAUUAAAAUUUAUUAUUCUCACCGACAUAAACUUUAUUAUUUUCGCUAACAUAUAGUCACUUUAACUCACACUUCACGUUUGUUGAGUAAUAAAAUUUUGAAGAGCCUGUGAAAUGUGUUUCAUUUUUACACGAAUAUAUUGAUGAAACAAUUACUUUAAGUGGAGAACAAAUAACAUUGUAAUCAUUUAUUAUACGACAGCAAUACGAAAUCCCAUUGUUCCAACCUCCACGGAUCCACUAGUCACCUCGAGGUUCACCAACGAGCAACAAUGAACAACUAACCCACGUUGCUCUUUCAUUUUCUCCAAUUCUAGCAAAUUCUUGAGCUCGAAAUCACCAAAAACCAACCACAAAGUCACCAAGGACCCAUUUCUCAACCAUUUCCAACUAAAACAACCAUCAAAAAAUGGAUCUCGACUUGACCCAAAACCCAUUCAUUUUUUUUUCUUUUUUUUUUUGGCGAACAGCUGCAUAACCCAACCUUUUCAGGCCCACAAAACCCCAAAUUCAUUUGCUGUAUAAAAACACCAGCGAGCCAUCAGAACUCACACCACUAUCGAUACCAUUCUUCGGUGAAACACCCAUCAACAGUGAGCUCACAGACAGUGGUGAGCCACCACAAAAUCUGCUACCUAAGGCCGAAAUCUGGCCAAACCGACACCUUUAGGUCUCCAUUCGAUCCAGCCAUGAAAUGGCAAAAAUCCACCGGAGAAAGCUGCCACAUCCACCAUUCCUCUUGUCGGUGAGACCAUAAACACUUUUCCCUCACACGACUUUGUCUCCUUGUCGCCUCCGUCCGCCGCAUAGAUCGUCUAAAGAAAAUGAAAGAAAAAAAAUGGUUGAGCAUGGAUAGUUAUGCAUGAAAAAGUAGGUGGGUGGGUGAAUAAAAAGGGUUUUUUAUUUUUUUUCUUUUUUUAAAUUAAUUGUUCUAUAUUUUGAUAAAUUUUAUAAUUUUUAAUUAUAAAUAUGGUGUUCAGUUGCUUUUACACGCGUGUAAUCACUCUCUCUAGCCAAUUCAAACAUUCAAAUGGCACAUAAGUUUGGUCAAUGGUUAGAGGGUUCAUUAAAUUAUGUUUUAUUGAAUUCAGGAUCUAAAUAACAAAAGGAUAAGUAGAACGGUUCACAAUACAAUAACAUACAAAUAUAAGGGUCCACCAUACCAUUUCACCUUAAAUUAAAAAUAAAACUAAUAUUAUGGUGUUUAGAUGGAAAAAAUUAUUAGAAUUAGUAAAACUUUAGGUAUGUACAUUUUGAAUAAUAAAAUAUAAACAUAUAAAUGCGUAAUGAAAAUUGCGGUUGAAGAGGGUUGGCGACCAUGGAAGGAGUAGUGGCAGCUCAAGAUCAGCAACAGCAACAGCCACAGCCGCCCAGGGUGGUGGAGGGUCUGAACCCCGCUGUUCAACAACAACUGAAUCUCGAAUCCGUUAAAACUCGAGCCGUUAGUUUGUUCAAGGCUAUUUCUCGCAUCCUCGAAGACUUCGACGCUAUCGCUCGCACCAAUGCUGUCCCCAAAUGGUUCUCUUUCUCUUUAGUUCAUUUCUUCUAUUUUAACUGUGUAGCAGCAAAUACAAAUACAUUGGAGUAGUUAAGUUGACUAAUACUAAUAUCUACGAGCUGUAUUAGCCCCCAAAAUGAAGGUGAGUGAGACUAGAUGAUAUUAUUCUAUCCCGUAGUACUAAGAGUUUAGAGUAGUCUAUUUUUUUGUUAAUAACCCUCAAUUUGUUUUACCAAGCACCUCCUCUGACCUCUCUGAUUAGGAUACACUAUGGUUUUAUUGGGUAAUUUCGGCUAAUACAACUAUGCUACCAAAUGCAGGAAGUUUACUAGUUUGUCAUUUAGGGAUAGUUUAUUGACAACACCAAAAUGCAUUUUGUGGGUUCUCCAGCCAAAUGAGUUUCCGGUACUGUGUCUUCACAGGCUGGGAUACCCCUGCUGAACUUUUAAGGUAGCCAUUUUUAUUCUUUGUCAAUUUAGGCUGCGAGAUUUGUUGUCAUUAGGUAGGUCAGGAUGUUGUGAUUCUGUGUAUAUUUGGAGAUGUAAUUACUGAAUUAAGUAUAACAAGUUUGGGAAUGCAUGCUACAAAAUACUACUUCAACUUUGAUGCCUCAAUAGUGCAGUUAAUAUCCUUCCAUGAGCCUAGACUCACCAGGCAAGAUUACCUUUUGGUUAGAUGAACAUUGCUACAUAGGACAUCACAUUCUCAACCACAAAUCAUCUUCAGACAAUUCCCUGGACACAUCUCGGUUAGUAGGAGGUUACACAGUCUCUUCACCAACUUUCUUAUACAGUUUGGGCUUGGAUCUGCAUAUCCUUGUCCCCAGGUUUAGAGUAGUAAUAAAGAUCUGUGUGAAAAGGAGAAGCGCCUUAUUGAUGCAUGUGGAUUAUCACAGUUGAUCUCAAUAUUCUCAUUAUCUCCCUUAACAAAUGAGAGUAGACCUUCACUCUCUAGCAUUUAUAUAUUAUUCAACCCCACUUAUAAUAAAAAAUCCAACCUAAGAUAUACUUGCACAUUCGUUUUGUAGAAGGGAAUGAUAUAUAAGAAGAUCAACUUACACAUUUGAUAUUGAUUUCCUUUGGUAUCUUAUUGUACUGCUGAUUUUUUUCUUUUUCAUAUUAUUUUUGUAAAAUGAAAUCCAAAUCUUCAGCGUCAUAUAUAAUACCCUUUUCACGCAAAAUCUGAUCUGCCUCACUCUUUUUUUUCUUUCUAUAGACACCAUUUAACUUAUUUGGAUCUCGUUGGGAAUUGAGAUGAAGUGUUUUACAGUUGAUACUUGAUGAUUAUUCUUAAGAGUACUGAAAAAAAAUAUGGUAUAUCUUUAUGAGGAAUAUGUAAUCAGGAAUGGUUUUCCAACUCAUUUCUCAUAUAUGUUAACAUUUAGUUUUAAUAAUUCUUUUUGCUAGGCAAGAUAUUUUGGGGCAAUUUUCUAUGGUGAAUCUUGAGCUUUAUAACAUUGUUGAAGAUAUUAAGAAGGUCUCCAAGGCUUUUGUUGUUCACCCCAAGAAUGUAAAUGCUGAGAAUGCUGCAAGUAUGGACUUAUUCACUCACGCUUGGUAAAUUUGUGAAGUUGGACUUCUAUUAUCCUUUCUUAAUUAUACAUGCUAACCACUGACAUUUGUCGUUGCAUAUAAGCAAGUACAUAGGUAGUGUAUAGGAAAGUGAAUCACCGAGAAGGUUGGUGUCUUAAUUCUUCUCUCCUCUCGAAUGCUACCUAAGGGUAUAUACAUAUUUAGUCUGGCUGUUAAGUUGCUCUUUAUCUAACAGUUUCACUUCUUGCUGACUUGCUGAGGUUAGCUUGAUAUACAUGUAUGCAUAACUAGAUAGCACGACAGUCAGUCACUAUUGCUAGCAAUUCUAUUUCCAUGUGGUGAAAUUGUUUGAGCAUAAUCAAUCAAUCAAUCAACCACACCCAAUAUCAAAUUAGUUUUUUUUUUUUUUAUGAAGUAAGUUGUUUCAUUACCGGCAUCAAGAAGAUGCUAAGAGUACAAAAGUAGAUAUGCUAGUUCCGUUACAUGAUAGCAGUUAAGACACGGGAGCCAUCCACCAAUUCAAAAAAUCUAGAGAAGGCUUAAAACAUGACUAUGUCUGGCCUAGAGUUAAAGAGCUAAUAAAAUCUAAGAAAGUAGUGUAACUAUUCACAUAAGACGGGUUGGACCAACAAAAAAGAAUGAACAAACAUUUAGCUUUGAGUGAGUGAUUAAGAGUUGAAAUUCCAUCAAAACACCGUUGAUUCCUUUCUGUCCAUAGGCACCAAAAAAUACAUGCUGGAAUCAUUCUCCAGGUGUUCCUGAUGGCCCCAUCAACUAUCAAAUGGUCCCAACUCACAACAACUUCUCUGAUAGUUUGAGGCAUCACCCAGUUCAAACUGAAUAGGGAAAGGAACACAUGCCAUAUGCCUGCAUCCACCGCACAACGCAAGAAAAGAUGAUUUACUGAUUCUGCACUUUCCUGAAUUUCUUUUCCAAAUUUCUGAUAAGGUUAAUGAAAGAAAUAAGCAUGUAUUUUUUGGGCUGUGGAGUAUAUUUGUGUUGACAGAAAAUCCGAAAGAUGCUUUCUGUCUAUGUUGCUCAGACUCUCAGUGGGUGUGUAUCGGAUUUUCCAAAAGUAUUGUAUUUUUGAAGAAUUUGACACGGGUGCGGCAUCAAAAGUGAAGAGUCCGCGCAGCUUAGCUUUCUGUUAGUUGUUACUUACAAAUACUUUUCGAUGCAGUUCUACCUGUUAUGCUGUCAUCAAAGCUGCUGCCAGAGAUGGAAGUCGAAGAUAAUGCCAAAAGGGAGCAAUUAUUACACAGCAUGCAACACCUAUCGGUAGCAUCCCAAAUUGAGAAGUUGAAGGUGGAAAGCUCUGCAGAUGCUAUUUCUUCUGUUUCUGUAUCCUUGUGGCUUUCUAAUAUACCUAUAACACACAGGUUAGAAUUGAUAUGAUUGGAGCAGCAUGUGAAAGUGCUGAGAAAGUCAUAGCUGAUACGCGCAAAGCCUACUUUGGAACCAGACAGGGGCCAACACUGCUUCCAACUAUUGACAAGGCACAAGCAGCAAAAAUUCAGGAACAAGAAAAUUUACUUCGCACUGCAGUAAAUCAUGGUGAAGGUGAUAAUAUUUAUGUUCUGAGUUUUUUCCCAGAAACAUCUUUUCUCCUUCUCAGAGUUCGUUAAAUGUUUUGCUUGCACAAGACAUUGACGCUAAAGAUACUUGGACCCCAAUGGUCCCUAUGUUGAUGUUUAAUCUAAACUAAAAGAAAGAGAGAAGGAUUCUUGCAAACUAUCAGAUCCACUGAGUGCCUUGUUAAUCAGAAAAUUGCACAUAUUUCUGAUGACGAAGAAGGUGCAAUUGCAAGUCAGAUGCUUCAAUGUGCUUCUGCUAUGCAUCACAAUAUAUAUGUACAAUAAACCUGACAUGUGUCUAGUGUGUGUAGCAUCCCUUUGGUGGUGUUUGGCGGUACACUCGUUUAUGAUUUGUUUUAACAUGUAUGCUCACAGAUUUCAUGAAAAUGGUACUUAUGCAGGAUUACGUGUACCUGGAGACCAAAGGCAUAUUACUUCUGCACUUCCUGGUCAUUUGGUAGAUGUGCUUACAGUGUCUGAUGGCCCCCAGUCUUUCGCUGAUUCAUCCGGUAGCCUAUCAUCUAUUGUUGUCCUACUGUUUCCACUUUAUUUCAUGAACAUCUGACUAGAGAAAUUGAUGCUGUGUUCAAGUAGGGACUUAUCUGAAGAAUACUCCUCCCUUUCCAUCGAGCAAUGUUAAUAGUCAGGGAGCUUUGUUACAGGUCAGAUUUCUUAUAAUUUGCCUUGUAAAUAUGCCUUUUGCUUAAGGGAUGAAGAUCAAUUUGAAACAUGAUUUUACUUCCACCCUCCGGCGUCCUGUAAUGUUGUUAUUCAAAGGAGCUAUGAACAAAGGGACAAGUGGUUAUCUUGUUAAUGAGUGAAUAUCAAUUUGGAACACAUGAAUUUUACUUCCACCACCCAUAAUUUUGUUACUAAAGGAGUUAUGAAUAAGGAACAAGUAGUUAUCACACAAUUAUGCUAUUCUAUCUUUAUCAUUUAAAAAAUUAUGCUAUGGUUUCUUUCUGUUUCGAAAAAAGGAGCCUUAACAAAGAUAAGCGGUAUGCCGUGUUACCAGGGGGUCACAGGUUUAGCCAUGUGUAGGUCUCUCGCAAAAAUGCAAAGUAAGGUCUGCACCUUCUCUAGUCCCAGGUAUAGAGGGAGCCUAGUGAAUUGGGCUACCUUUUUGUCGUCUUCUGUAUGGUUCUACUAUCUCUUUUACUGUUCUCGGGGAGGGAAUUGUCAUGCCUUUUUAUUCCCAGUUCACUCUAGGUUUACAGACCUCUUUUUAGGUUGGCCAACCUGAUUAUUUUCACAUGUUCCAUAGCACCAAAUGGAUACCAAAAAACUGCACAUCUUAGAAUGGGUUUAGAUCAAUUAGUUACUGAAGGAGUUUACUAGGUCCACUAUAGUAUUUAAUAAUCAUAUACAUGUUCUAUGUUACACACCAAAUACACUACCCUGAUUGUAAUUAAUAUCAACUACUGCAUGUUCUUUGUAUACUUACAUCCUUGGUUACACAUCAACUUCUCGUGCAAGUUGUAACGCCUGUUUUUUUUUUUCUGGGGGUGAAAGAGCUGUAGGAAUUAUUUCCCUCAUUUAUUUGAAUUUAUUGGAGGAUGGGAGAUCAAGUAGAGUUUGCUAUUAAAUACUUAUGUAAGAGUUCGGAGAGGAAAUGCAAAUCUCCUUCUAUUCAUGGCGCUAAUCAGUAAUAUGGAAACAAUAAAUGAUUAAUCUGCCAGAAGUAUACUGAUCAUAUCCUUUUUCCAUUCUUUCUCCUUAACUAAACAUUACAUUAAAUCAAUGUUCCCCAAGUUAUUUUAAUAUAUUGAGUCCUUAUUGUCUUUUAAGUUCGUCAGUUCUAAUAUGUAUGUAUUGCUCUUGGAGUAGGCUUCUGGAGCACUUCGGGCUGCAGUUUCUCCUUCUGGGCCCACUUCCUUUGAUACUACAACAGCAUCACCUCUGCAACAUGUCAACUCACCUAGGUCUAGUGCUAACAUGAUGAAUACACCAUCUCCUCAGCAACAGACCCAUCAGCAACAGCAGCAGCAACAGCAGCAGCAGCAGUUGCAGCAGCAUCAGCUCCAACAGAGGCAGAAAAUGCUGCAGUUACCUCAGCAUCAGCAGCAAAUUCUUGCCCAACAGCAACUUAGGCAAGCCUCAAUGCCUGGACUGGGGCAGGUACAGUUUGUACAAAAAUCUUGAUUGGUUUAAGGUAUCUUUUUGUGAAUUUGCACGACGUAUAGCGUGCUUAGUAUGGGCUACCUUACCAUUACCCUUUUACUCAUAAAGAACAGGCAUAUAUCUUCUUUUGUUUCCUCCAAUUGUCAGCUAUGAGAAUUGAAUCCCUAGCAGUUCCUUCACAGAAAAGCCACUUUUUUUGGCCUUUAAUAUCCAACUAGUUCCAUUAGGGAAUCCACUGAGUCCUUUAUGACAACCCGUAAAUAGAUUUAGCGGUGAGAGGGCCUGAUGAAUCACCAUCCAACUGCGAACGCCUCUCAUCUCGCAAAAUUUACAAAAGUUGAAGGCUAAAAUUGUUUACCUCAUUCAACUCUUGAGUCAUUAUGAUUCAUUUAAAAGGUCCAGAAAAGAGUUCUCUCAGGCCUCUGCCACAUCCCAUGUUGACUUUUAACAAAUUGGGAGAAGUCCUCCUAGUUGUGUGGUAUCCCGUAUCCCCAUCCUAGCUGCUCUUUGAUAAGGACUGGUAACUUGUCAUCCCCAUUUCCUUUCCACGUGUACUCCUCUGAACCAUGCUCCAGUGCAAUCUUUAUCAACCCUUGACCUCCAAUUAGGGAUGUUCAUGGUUCGGUUUGGGUCAGUAUUGGUUGAAACCAAAACCAAAUACAUAUCAAUCAGUUUGGUUGUUGUUAUUUGGUUUGGUUCAGUUUUAAUGAUACCUAAUGAUAUUUCUCUCUUCAAUUUUUCCCCUUACAAUUAAGAAGGAUUUUCCCAUCCUUUUUCAUCUUUGUGAUGUCUUCCAUUCAAAAUACUUUUGAUCAUUCAUCUAAAGAGGAUUCUGGGUUUCUUUUAUCCGAAGCGAAUGCUUAGCCUAUUUUGUGUUCUUUUUACAGUCAAAGACUGACAUAAAAUAACAAAGAAAAUAGAUUCAUAAAUUGGAUCCACUGUUUUGAUAUGCUUAAUGGUAAAUCCUAGUAUGUGAGGACAGGCCACUAGUUUUACAGCCAAGCUCCUGAUCAACCUACAGGAUUCCCAACUUCUCCAAUAGGUAGGAAUUUUAUCUCAUUUCUUCAUCUACCAAGGAGAAUUAGGUCCAUUUCACCAAUUAAAAAAGAAAAUUGGGACCAUUUCCCCGUAAAAUUGAAGAGCAAAAAGUGCACUGCUUGCACUGAUCUCUUUAAACUUGUUAUGGUUCAUCUCUCCUUAUUUAGCAUUCAGACAAUUCAUGAGGAGGAAGAAGCUCAGAUUAGUUAGUAACACAUGCACACUGGCUGUUUGUAUAUACGACAUGCGUAAAUAUCCAAUUCAGAUUCUUUUCAAAGGGCACUUUACUCCAGGAUUGCACAUAUUUUCCAAAGAGUAUGAACUUGUUAAUCUUUUAAACAAAAUGAGGACAAUUAUUGAUUUUCUGCUACUUUUUUGGGUUUCAUUUUUGGUUUUGGAAAAGCUUUGUAGAUGACACAGAAUCUUUACUUGACAUAAUUGAUACUUUGUAAGAUAAAAGAGUUGAUUUUCUGAACUGUAAAUGUGGCUGCAGCACAGCCUUUAUGCUGAUAUGAAUACAACAUUACAGUUUUCUCAAAAUUAAUGAACAUUGAUUUUCAGCACUUUCAAUAUGCUUACCUUACCAUGAAUGACUUCUUCAAACAUGAACAUAAUUAUUAUUCUAUUUGGUGUAUAAUAUAUUAGUUUCUGUUGUUCAUUUUAUUGGGGAGUAAGUAAUUGCUAAUGAACCUGCUUUUAUCAAACGGUGACCAAUAAACCUGUUUAUUAGCUGCAUGGUCAGCCACAGAUGCAGUUCUCUCAGCCACUGGGAGCACAGCAGUUUCAAGGUAGGCAGCUACCAUCUGGUGCCCUUCAUCACGGUAUGGGUCAAAGUCAGCUCAACCAAGGAAAUCAGCUGAAUCGACAUUUAAACCAGUUUUCUAGUCCUAUGAAUACUGCACUAUUCAAUUCUGCCCAAAGCACACCUAGCUCUCAGAUGGUGAGUCAAAUAUAUCAGUUUUUAUGUUAUUUCCUUCUUCAGUUCAGCCUAUCCACAAUGACUUACUCAUUUUGCCCGAGAAUUUUAAGUUCAAAAUCUCUAGUUCUGCUGUUUUCUGCCUCUAUAAAUUAAUUUGGGAUAUUCUGGUUACAUCUGAAGAAUGCAAGUUAUUUAUCUCAUGCAUUGAACUGAUAUUUCACAUACUGAAAAUUUCUGGGAUCUUUGAAGCUGAUAGUUCUAACUAAAUGUUUGUUGCAUUGUAUGUACUGAACCUGUUAGAACCAAAAGUUCUAGAAAAUUUUCAUCUCUAUUUGGUUCCAACUCAUAGUUUGUCCAUUAGUUUAUUUUCCCCUGAAGGCACUCAAUGUUGUAUAGCACAGGAUAUGAAGUUAUAGAUCACAUGGCGUGCUGUGUAUGUAGUCCUCCCCUAUGACAUAGAUAUUAACUAACUUGGUUUACAUGUUAAUGCAAUGCUCAUCUGGUCACAGAAAUGGUCGUUUCCGUGUCAACAACAACAUAACCUAGUGUAAAUCCAUAAGUGGGGUCUGGAGAGGGUGGUGUGUAAGCAGUCUUACCCCUACCUUGGGAAGGUAGAGAGACUGUUUCCGAUAGACCCUCAGCUAAAAUAAAGCAUAUCUGGUCUUUUCUGUGUCAAGCUUCAUUGUGUCUUUUGAUUAUUAGCUGUUUAUUAUUUUACUAGUUUCUGACAACGUGCGUUGCACGUUUAUUCUUUACUAUUGUUAUAUAAUUUAAAAUUGUGCUAUCAAAUAGAAAAUAUUUAAAUCAACAAUAUUAAUUUUACCAAUUAUAUUUCAUGUAUCAACAAAAAUAAAUAAAAAGGGAUUGCACAUUUGGCAUCAAGCAAAAAGUAUGUAAAAUUAAUUAACAUAAUAUAGUCUCCUUUAACUUUGUAUAAGUCUUUUUUAUGAUCUAAAUAUCAGUGAUAACAUUUUAUAGCCAUAAAUGGAUAUUAAAAAUACAUGCACACUUAUUGAUAAGAUUGCCUAUUUUAUUUUAAUGAGAAACGAUAGAGUGAAAUAUUUAUAUUAUUUAAGUAAGGUUCUAAAAUUAAAAGACAGUACUAUCAAAAUUAUACAAGAUAAACACUGAAUCUCAUACAUACAUCUAUUUCAAAAGCUCAUAAUAAUAGCUAAAAGAUUACAUUACCACAAUGAGUUUAUUAGAAAUGCAAAAGAUAUUAGAAACAACAAUAAUCUUCGUGAUGGAGAAUAUAUAUCGAAAGAGAUAUGAGGAGUUAGGCAUGUCUAAAAAGAAGUCUUCAAGUUCUUCUCCCACCUCAUGUAUUCUAUUUUUUCAUGUCUUUUUCGCCAAUCAUAGAUGGAAUAGUUUUUUGAUUAUCAGUUGAAUGACAAUUUCUUUCAUUUUUCAAUGUUAUCACCUAGUUCUUAAAUAGUAGUAAAAAUGUCUGUUUAAAUUCUAUAUUUUUCAGUUCUAAAUAAUAGUCUUUAAUAUAUAGAUAGAUGGAAAGAUGAAAAAUACAAAUCAUAGACUUAAUAAGAGAAUUAACAUUACCACUAAUAAUUAUUACUUUGAACUUGGAAUCUAAUCUAGUUUGAAUGAAUAAUUAAAAAGAUGAAAAACACAAAUCAUUUUAAUUAGUAAUAAAUGAGGCAGUUACAAGUCAUCUCAAUAAUUUAUUACUAAUUCAUUCAUAUAUAAUAACACACUUUUAAUAUCAUAGUAAUAAUAAAUAAAAUAACUAAAAUCAAUGGCAUUAAUCGGAUAAAUGGGGGGUCACUUUUUUCAUAUGCCAAUAAUUAUUUUAGGAUAUACAUGUACAAUUAAAAUAUGUCUUUUCACAUUCCAAACAUUUAAUUAUUUACUUAUAUUUUAAUUAAGAAUUAAUUUAAGGAAAUGCAAAAGUCGUCUACAUUUUUAUUAAAAUGAUACAAGUUAACAUUUAAACUAAAUAAUUAAAUGCUUUCUGCCAUUAAAAUAUGUGCAUCAUAAUUUCUAAAUUUAUCGAGCAUUCUUUUCUUGAACUUAAAAUUCCAAAUGUCCAGUCUGCUUCGAAUUAUGUUAAACUUAUUCUAUAUGGCAGAUCUCAAAUAUGUCAGCAAUGGUGCCAUCACAAACUCUUCUGCCACGAAUGCAGGUGUGUCAAAUUGUAUUUCCUAUUGUUGUUGUCAUGCAUGCUGGAAGUUAUUAUUUGGUCAAUAAUUAUAAUUCACGACAAGGUGAACUGAGUGCCUUCUCUGGAGUGGAGAAAGUGACCCGAUGUCUUCAUUUAGCUUCAAAGGGAGGGAGUUCAUUUUGUUUUCUGUUUGACAGUUAAUUGAAAUUUUCUAUUUUAUUGGCAUUAUACACAUCAAAUAUUUUCUGUUUUGAUAUCUGUCUUGACUGUGAAUUUGGUUUAAAUUGAUGGGAGGCUAUAGCUAUAUGUGUGAACAUGCGGACACAAAUUACAUGUGGUCCUUCAACAUGUGGACACAACUUACAUGUGGACAUACACGCUUAGACAUAAUUAGUAGCCAAGGAAUUUGGUUCAGCUUACAUUUCUUGAAGUUCACUGAUUAUGUUUAAGCAUGUAUGUCCACAUGUUCAAGGACAUUUUUACGUCCAAUAUGAAAAAUCUGUUUUUUUCGGAAGUCAUUUGCAUGGGAAUAACCUAAUUUUGCAUGUUUCAUUUAUAUUAUGUUGCCAAUUGUUUUAUGGCCUCAUAUGACUGCUUUCAGUUUGGAAUGUCUGGUGGAACUCGGAAUCUUGCUGCUGCAAACCUGAGUGAUCAAAGUAAAAGCACCUCCCUCUACUUAUCUUUUAUAUAGUUCUGUCCAUAAGGAUUUUUCUUCAUUUCUUAGCCCGAAGAGAGAAUGUCGUAAACCAAAUAAAAGUGCGCCUUGUUUCUAGUUGCAAAACAUUUGUUCCUAAACAGAGAUGGUGGUUUCUCUGCAGUGUUCAAUAUGGGAGGAAACAAUCCUGGUAUGAUGUCAAUCCAACAGCAGCAGCAUGGCACAUUUGGAAACAUGUCACAAAAUACACAGAAUCUGCAGCAGGGUAUGAUGCCUCUUCAGAACGCACCUCAGACCCACCCUUCCUUUCAGCAACAAAGACCACAAGGCCAACAGUGAAGUAUCUAAGAUUAGAUGGAAGAGGAGGAUAUUUAUACCAAACCUCAACAUUUCCUAACUUUGUUUGAUCUUUAAAAAAAAAAUGUGAAGGCCAGAUUCUUGCAGGAAAUUUUUGUUGGAACAUUACAUUUGUUAAAAGAAGAUUGUAAAAUUACGUGCCUUGUACAUUAUUCAGUCGUAAAUGUAAAUCAGAAGAUGAUUGUUUGCUAUUCCACAUCUUUUUUUAAUAUGCUCUAGUUGGUGUCUCAAUUUGUGAGUACAAGAAAUGAAAGAGGGUGUAUACUGAGCCAUUUGACUUAUUACAUGAGUCUUUUUCUGGUUGAAAAAGAAGUGCAGCAUCUGUUAAGGAACCAUCUCAACCUGAGCAAGCAAAAACAAUAAAUUUUAGUUUUUAAAGGAAAGUAGAUGGUAAAUGUGGGUGGGGAAAAAGAAGGUUGCUUACAAGUGUAAAAGGCAGGAGGAGCAUCUGUGAUAAUGAUGAUGAGGUUGGAGUUGGUGAUGUAGUGAAAAUGGGGGAUGAGGGGAUGAGGGUGGUGAGAAUGGUGGGGAAGGAGAUGAAGAGAAAUAGUAAUGGUGAUGUGCAGGGCCGACACUCACCGGAAGUGGGGAUCGGGGAGUUGAGGACGAGGACGGACUUGCAUAACCAGUGACCAUUCUGAGUUAGUUAUCUAGCUUCCUCCCCCCAUCCCCAUAGAUGAUGUUUAACAUUUAAAGAGAUGGAGCUCUAAAUUUUGUAGGUAAACCAAACGGUCAUCUAUCUGUCUGUACGUUUCAACAACCAAUCUAUGUAUACAAGGCUAAAUUGGAGAUAACUGCAUUUUGUGGCAAUCUUAUCUAUCCAUAUGAGUAUGAAUUGUAGAUUAGCUUUGAUAUUACUGACUAGUAUUGUUGACCCAGUGUAUAUAUAUAUAUUUUUUGGACAUUAAGCUAAUCCAACAAAAUAUAUAUAGGAGUAGUUCUAGUGUUUUAAGAUGAAUGAAAAUAUAGCUUUAAAGUUGAUUCCGGUAAAAUCUAUAUAAGUAGAAACAAACAUCCAGAGAGAAGGUAGAGUGAAGUUAAAAAGCGAAAAUGAAAGGGGGGAAAGGGGUAUGUACUGUACAAAGUACAAACCACCAUCCAUCCAUUGUUUGAUUAGCUAUGAAUCAAAGAAGCAUCUUCUUCUUCUCCCAGAUCAUCUCCUUAUUGAAAUUUUCAUUCGCCUCCCUAUCUCUGACUGGAGAACUCUCUCUUGUGUUAGUUAACAAGCAAUGGGCUGAUCUCUUUCGCCAAGACUUGCUCUGGAAUGCUGCUCUUCUCACCACUUUUCCUCUCGCUGCUAACAGAAACAGAUGGCCAGGCCAGGCUUGUCCAAAAGGUGGUUCUUUUGCGUUUUUUUUUAUCACUUCAUUUGAUACAUCAAUUUUUCAGGAGAUAUACUGCAUUGUAUGUCUGCAAACAUAUUGGUGAAAAUUUGGAUGAUGAGAUUGUUGGUCACGUUUAUUUAUUUCUCAAAGAGCAGCUUCAAAUGCCCCCUUUGUCCGGAGUACUUCAUGGAACCAUCAUAGGUCCGUUUCCUCUUUUCUCUUGUUGUUUCUUAUAUAACUAUAUGUGAUCAGUAUGACAAACAUGGCCUGCCCUUUCGUUUUAGCACUUUCAUGUACAAAUUAAUCUCAUUCAUAACAUGAUAUACAUAAUUGCCAAAAAUGUUAUUUUUGGUAAGAUGAACUAGGUAGAAAAUCAUUUUUUCUGCCUAAAGAAUAAAAGCAAAAAGAGUUAGCUAACGCCUUUAGUUCAAAUAGGCAGGCCUAUGUACUAACCCUGCUAGGUAUGAUUUUCCAGGUUUUCACUUUACCACCAUGAGGACUAGGGUGUUUGUUACUUACAGAAUGUUGCAAGAUCCAACUAGCUGCAUUUAUUCUGUAAAUAAUAGUGAGUGAUAAUUGCAGGAAAUCUUGUUAUACUCUAAUCAAGACUCAAGUAGAUCCUUCUCUUGGGGAGUGGAGCACUCCUCUUUGUUUUGUUCCUUUCUAAUAAAAGCUUGGUACGUGUUCUGACUGAGCCUUCAUGUAAUGUGAACGGUACCUAUGAAGUGGAAUCCAUGCUAAGACUUUCCAGAAGAAGAUGCCAUCUGUUUGAUGAGAAAUAAAAAGGAAUAUCCAAUAUUCGAGUGGCAGAAGCUGAAGCAACUACUUUCUAUGUUCCUUACUGUAGUCUUGGUCCAUAGUUUAAGACUCUCUUCCUUAUAAACAGCUGAUGUGACUCCGUAUUAUAUUGAUGCCUUUCCCUUUGUAGUUUGUAUAGUAUAUGGUUAAGUGAUGGACAUCAUGAUAAUUACUACAUGCCAUAGUUAUUAAAUCAAACUGUUGUGAUAGUUUAUUUGUGUUUGUUAAAUCUGUUAGUUUAUAUUUGUUAUGUGGUAAGGGGCUAUCCGAAAAAAGAAAGAUUGACCUUUUUUCUCAAGUGUUUUGAUUCAAUUAUCUUCAGUCAGUUUUCUUUAGUAACAUAGUGCUUUGCGUGUCAUUCAAUUGGUAUUUUGCAGGUGAUGUUACCUUUCCCAUAGUCCAAGGUCUUAUAAAGUCCAAUGGAGAGUGUUUGAAAGGCUUUUCACAGACUUCCGCGACUGCUUGAAUCAUGUGGAGUACUCUCAUCUGCCUUUCAACCAGUACCAUCUGCUUGGUUAGCAUAGAAUUACAUAUGUAAACAAGUUCAAGCGUCUGUUUUUCUCCUUUUCUUUUUUUUUUUUUAAAAAAAAUAUAUAAAAAGGAACAUGCCGGACAAAGUUAUGAAUUGUAAAGACUAGUAAUGUUUGAAAUGAAUGUCCUUAGGUUCAACCUCUCAAAUGUAGUUAGCAUUCAGAAAGAAAUCUUAUACAUUUAACUUUAAACUGGGUUAAAAAACUGACUAUAAGUCAAACAUAAUGCUACGUCACUUGCGAAUCAUCUACCUGUGCAAAAAUAAAUUAGGAUUGAAAUUCUACUAUUUCUUGUAAGUCAUACAACACAUGUGAAAAAAUUAUUUAUGUUAUGUAAUUAAAUUUAUUUUGUGUUUCUUAUAUGUCAUAUUCAUAGGUGUGCGUAUAUAUAUACACUAGUUUUUGAUAACGUGCGUUGCACGUUUGUCCUUUAUUAUCAUUACAAUUUAUUUAUUUUAUUUAGAAGUGAGUUAUAAGGUAUAGAUAUUGAAAUUAAUUUUAUUUUUUAUUUUUUAUUCAUAAAAUAGAAUGGUGCACCUGCUAUCAAACCAGAAAUAUGUGAAUCAUGAAUGUAAAAUAUGUCUAUGGAUUCAUGAUAGAAAAAUAAUAAUAAAUGUAUCUAAUGCCUUUAAUGAAAUAACAAAGGAGCGAAACAAAUUUAUCAGAAAUAUAAAUUUCAAUUACACAUUUUGCAUUUUCUAUAAAGAAAAUAAACAUAAAAGCUUAACGACAAUAUGAUAAGAUUGUCUUGAGAAUGCAAUUACUUGUGAUUAGUCCAUGGGUCUAUAUAUGAGUAUAUUUUAUUGUAUUUACAUGAAAUAUAUCACUAUUUGUGUUAGUUUUUGAUGAUAUGAUGUUCAGUAUUCAUGAAAAAAUCAUCACUCUAUUCAAAUAGUAAAAGUAAUUGAUAUCUUUUAGUUUUCAAAUUUAAAUUUUAAUAAACAGAAAAUAAAUUAACAAAAUAAUAAUAAAAAAAAGACGAACCAAUAAUAACAUCAUAAACAUGCUUGUGAUGAGUCAUAUAUAAUUUGAUGAAGGAAAAAAUAUUACAAAUUCAAAUCGAAGAGAAAAUAAUAUCUAAGACGUACUAAGAUUAAAAAAUAUGUUCUCUAACUAAGAUCUUAAUCUUCAAUCACCCAAAAUUAAAAUAGGAAAAGGAAAGAAUCUUGUAAGAGAAAUGAUAAUGUAUACAAUUUAAAAGCCUAUAUGUGAAAAUAUGAGGAUAAAUAUACUGUAUAAAAAAAAUUAUAGCUUCGAAAAAUACCAUGUGUGAUUCUCAAAGGUAAAAUUAUUUUACUAUUACAUGUCAAUUAUAUACUUUCAUCAUAUUUGUUGUUCAAAUUUCAUCUUUUCAAAAAUGAAAAACAAGCUAAGAAAAAAAUAGUAAAAAAGAACAAAUAAAGACUAAUAAAAUAGAGAAAGGAAAAAAUCAGUGAAUAUCCUGAUUGAAACUGUAUUAUAGAAAUACUCGGAUAAAUUAAUAUACCUUGAAUUUUAAGAACACUUCAAAUUGCAUCACAUAUAAAUCUAGAAGAGGCAUAUUCUACAAUAAGAGGGGAAAGGGGGGGGGGGGAGGGGGAGGUUAGAAGAAAACAACAGCGGAGAAAAGUGUUAAAAAUUUGAAACCUUCCCGUUUCAAAAAAGAAAAAUAAUGAAGGGCACGGGAUGUUGGAGGACUAUGAGAUUUCUAGGAACACAAAAUCAGUUUCUCAUUAUUGUCGUUGUCGAGAAAUCACUGUAGACACCAUAUUUCAUAUGUUCUUCAUGAUUGUCUUAAAAUCUUUGAUUUCUUAACUAAAAUAGCGUUCGUAUAUCUUCCAUGCCUUUUGAAAUGUAUAUGAAGAUGAAAUGAUUUACUUAACGAUGAAACAUAGUUUGGUGUCAAUUGGGGGGUCUGUGGACUUUUGUUGCUCUCCAUGGAGCUUUUGGCCUAAUAGGUUUCUUUAUUUACCUGAAAAAAGUCAUUAUUCACCUAGAAAAAAAGAUUUAUUUAAUGUAAGUUUAACUGUUGUCUUUUCAAUCAUUCUAAUUAUUGUAAUUGAAGUGUAAAUUUAUUUUUUUAGGUCAUUAAAAAUGAAAAUAUUGUGCUUUUAUUUUCAUAUAAUGUUAUAUAUAUUCAAAUAAUGUUCAAGUGAAGAGUAAAUUUGUAAUACAACUUUGAGUUGAAGGACCUCUCACUUACAUUAUGAUAUGAUAUGAUAUAUAUGUUGAGAUUAUGUUUAGUAGAAUAUGAAAAGAAAGUAUUAAAUUUCAUCAUAAUCAAGUUGAAUGUAACACCAUUCAACUAAAAUGAGAUAAAUAAUAGGGGUUAUUUUAGGACGAUACAUUAGAUUAGAAUAAAGAAAGAGGAUGAAUAUUUCAAACCCCGUGGUGGGGUUUAAGGAACGACAUUUGUAAUAAUCUAAUAUAGUAGAGUAGGAGUAAGUUAAAACAAACAAGAAAACUCUCUCUUCUUCUUCUUCUUCUUCUUCGAUAUAUAUGGUUCUGCGCUGCGUUUAGGAAUUGAUCAUCACAUCACAUCACAUCACAUCACACCACACCACGCCAUCGGGGAGUUAUGUAACAGACUCUCUCCUUAUCAUUAGAGCAGGUAUGUAAUCACUUCACUUUCCUUUUCAUCUGCUGUUGUACUAGGGUUCUUAUGUUACACCUUUUGACUCUCUCCUUCUCUCUUCCUACCAUGCGAUUCUACCAAAAAAAGGUUUUUGCUUUAGCUUUUGUCAAUUUUAAUUACUCACUGUGUUAAUCACCACUUCGAUUCUGAUAACAGAUUUCACAUGACCAUUACUACAUACAACCCGUUGGAAUUCUGUAUCCUCCACUUUUUCCUUCUAUUUUCAUACCACAAAAAAACUUCUAUUUGGACAAUCAAACCAUUCAGCUCAUUGAAGUUUUGGAUAACAAAAAACUAACCUAUUACUUCUCUGCUGUCCAGUUAUUCAAUCACGCUUAGCUGCUGAACAUAGAAUGCUCAAUUUAAUCAUCAAUCAUUGUCCCUGCUGGUCAUGGGGUUGAUUGAUUGUGACUAAAUGAAAAAUUAUUUGAUUGGGACUCUAGCAAGUAAAUGUUAUGGUACCUAAAUAAAUAUUUCUGCUCAUCCCUAUUUACAACAAGUAUCACUGCAUCAUCAAUUGUUUUUUAUCUGAAUCUUCCAUUGCAGUUGCCCCAGAUUAUAUGUAGUCACCACAGCUUAGUAUCUUUUGUUUCUAGAAUCUCUUCAUGUGAUGUCGAUGAAAAGCUUCGGUUGAAAUGUCUCCACCUUUGGCUUUGUUGAUUUCAAAACUCUAUAUGCUUGCUUACUCUUGAGCAACAUGGCAACGGAGAGCCCUAUGAGAAUAUUCCAAGACAGUAGAAAAGGAAAGUGGGUUUCUGCCAAGGACACGGUCAACUUCGCAUCACCUAUGAAUGAAGUGGCAGCUGAUGAACUGGGAUUGCUUCUUAAAGGUCAUAAGAUUCAUGGCCAUAAUAGAAAUAAGGUUCCAAAUCGUAGUGGUAGUGCGCCUCCAAGCAUGGAGGGCUCAUUUUCAGCCUACGGUAACCUUGUCUAUGAUCAAAGCUCCGGCCGGAAGUUGAGUUUGGCAAGCUUAGACAAUGCCAUGCAGAACUGGCAGUCUGAAGAGCAGAUGCGUGCUGAUCCCUCGUAUUUUGCAUACUACAACUCUAAUGUCAACUUGAAUCCUAGGCUUCCUCCUCCUAUUAUUUCUAGGGAGAAUAGACACCUGGCACACCAUUUUGCAGAUCUGGGUGAUAGCUGCCAGUUAAACUCUUCUGAGAAUAGUAAAGAUGGAUCCUUGCAUGUGACCAGAAGUUCUCUCUCAACUCAUGAUGAGGAGCCGGAAGAUGAAAAUUUACCACAGAGUGCUUCAGGACAGCACUUGGCCUCCUUUGCAGGUCAACAUAAAAGUUUGGUUGACCUAAUACAGGUAUUGAAGUUCAAGAAUAUUUCUUCCAUUCUGUGUAUUGUUUCCUUUCUAUUAGUUUCUCUUUGCAUGUGCCCAACUUUUCAACAUCUAAGAAGUUCUGCUUAAUUUUCUGAAGCAUACAUACAGUACAUUGUGCUAAUGAAUGAGAAGAUAGUAUCAUUUAGAUUUCUGUAGUGCUAUCUCUUUCAUGUUCCAUGCGGCCUGCUUAUACUGGUGACUAAUUGGUCACAGGAGGACUUCCCUCGCACUCCAUCACCAGUUUACAAUCAAACUCGGUCCUCUGGUCAUGUUGCUGCGGAGGAACCAACUGAUUCUGAUAUGCAAUCUCUUACAUUGGACGGUCUCUCCCUUGAUAUUUCAAAUAAACACGGUGCAGAUGCUUGUGCGGAUGUCUUAGGUGACCAUGAUAUAGCUGCCUCUAAUCAGCCUUUGGCCAUUACACUUGAAAAAGAAUCUUGUGUUGACAGUCUUGGGAAAUCUCAUUCCCCUCAGAAAGGUGAAUUACCAGGUAAUGAUGCACAUCUGGUGAAUGAACUCUUAGUCGGUGAUGAGAUAGCAUCAGGUAUUUUAAAGAACGUUCAGGCUCCAGAGGCUAGUAAGAACGAGGAUGAACAGUAUUUUCACAGCAGGAAUGCAGUAGAACAGAAACAACAGCAGCAGUACCACUCCCAGAGAAGCACGACUUACCAAGUUAAUGGCCCACAAGUUCAAGCAAAUACACUUGGGACUAAUACACUGCAGAGUAGCCUAGCAAAAGGUUAUGGUCAGAGCUGGUCCUCUUCAGUUGAAGUACAAGCAGCUCCUCAAGGUUCUGGCCUCACACCUCCUCUAUAUGCAACAGCUGCAGCCUAUAUGGCUUCUGGUAAUCCGUACUAUUCUAACUUGAGUCCAUCUGGUGGAUAUGCCCCUCAAUACAAUAUGGGGGGAUAUGCGUUGAGUUCGCCUUCUCUUUCUCCAUUUUUAGCUGGAUAUCCGUCUAUGCAUAUUAAUACUAGUUCUGGACGAAGCAUCAGUGGUCAAAAUGUUGCACCAAGGGAAAACAUUCCACAAGUUGGUGAUCUGCAUCAUUUAACCAAGUUUUUUGGGCAUCAUGGGUUAAUGGUGCAUCCUUUCCCAGAUCCUUUUCAUAUGCAGUACUUUCAUCAUCCUCAUCCUGUUGAUGAUUCACACACUUCUCCUAGUCAACAUAUGCGGUUUCCUUCGCCUGGUGUAUUCGGGCUUGAAGUUGAUGCUUAUGCCUCACAGAAGGAGUCAAAUCUCCCUUCUUAUAUUGCUGAACAGAAUUUUCUUCGUCCACCAAUUGGAAGUCUGAACUUACCAAGUCCUGGAAAAAUGAUAAUUCCUGGCAAUAAUUAUUUUGGGAGUCCAUCGGGCCUGGGAUUCACGCAACAGUUUCCAGCCUCACCUCUUGGUAGUCCUGUACUGCCAGGAUCCCCUAUUGGAAGAAGGAAUGAAAUUAAACCUUCCCCUGGUUCAGGUAGAAAUAAUGGAUUGUAUUCUGGAUGGACUGCACAAAGGGGUCCAGGUAGCUUGAAUGACUCUAAAAGACAUUCAUUUCUCGAAGAACUGAAACAAAGCAAUGCUCGAAGAAUUGACCUCUCUGAUAUUGCAGGUCGUGUUGUUGAAUUCAGGUAGUAUAUAUGUACCGACUGUGUAUUUUCUGCAGUAAACUUUCUGUAUAAUCCCAAAGAUGUGAAGUUAAUUUAAUGGUUCUUUAACCUUAGUGUUGAUCAGCAUGGAAGUCGGUUCAUACAGCAGAAAUUGGAAAAUUGUAGUAUUGAAGAAAAGGCAUCUGUUUUCAAAGAAAUCCUUCCACAUGCUUCAAAGCUAAUUACAGAUGUUUUUGGGAACUAUGUCAUUCAAAAGGUAAAUAUUCUGGUUUUCUGUACUUUCAGGUCUUCUGGACAUUUUCAGUUUUUUAAACCCUUGAGCCUUUAACCUUCCAGCAUGUUUUGCAUAUCUGAAUUAUGUGUCCAGUUCUUUGAGCAUGGAAGUCAUGAGCAAAGAAAGAUGCUGGCAUGUCAAUUAGCAGGACAGAUGCUGCCUUUGAGUUUGCAAAUGUAUGGUUGUCGUGUUAUUCAAAAGGUAUAUCUUACUUCAAGUAUACAAAUAUAUUUUUAUGAUUGGAUUCAUAUGGAAGUUGUUAUUCUUGUAUGACGAACAACUUGUAUAACUUCACCAAUAAAUAAUAUCAUUGUCUUACAAAAAAACAAUUGCCUUUCAAGCCAUGGCCCUUGAUUUUGAAGAUUCGGAGUCACAUUUAUCAAGAGUCAUCAACAUUUUCCCCAUGUACAUGUCAGUGUUGCUCAAUUCUUCUCUUGAAUCAGGUCAUGCUUGCAUAACUGUACCAAACAAGGAUUUUCGGUUGCUAAUUUACUUUUAAAAGAAUUUAUUGAAAAAUCCCCCCUCCCUCUCCAUUUCUUUUAAGUGUUGAAUUAGUGGCUGAAAUUUUAAAGAGUUUAUCGGUAUAAGAUCCUUGAUUUGACAUGGUGAAUAGCUGAUCAAUUAGAAUUUCCUGAUAUACAUGCUCUCUAAGAAAUAUCAUCAUUAUCAGUAGUGGUAAAGAUUUAAAGUGUUAAUGUUUAGCAUUUUUACCAUUUUCACUUCAUUAAAGUUUUGUCGUUUUGAUGAUCCAUAUUUCGAUUGAUGGGCUUCUCCAACCAAUUCUUGGCUCUCUAAAUUGGGCAUAAUAAGUAGUUGUAAAUACGGGAAAUUAGUAUUAGACCUUUUAAGUGAAAUAUUGGUUUGCGCGUACAAAUCUUCAACUUCUUUUUUCAAACCAAGUUAAUGUCCAUGGACAACUGCAACUUCCACAAAUGUCUUUCAACUUCAACAACACUUUUUUGUCGAUUUCUCAAAGAGUGUCCAAGUACCUACUAAUAUUGCUAACUAAUUGGAUCUCUUAAAGGGUAGAGCUGAAAGCAGAUUGUAAGGUCCCUUCUAUAGGUUAUAAACCACGGUCCAUGACUGUGCUAAGCACACUUUGAGGCCAUACAGUUAUUAUCAUGUUGGAUAGCACACAUUUAUUAUGCUAAUUUUUUUUGUACUCUAGUACUGUAGUUUUCUUUUGUCCGUUUUCAUCCAAGCAAUUCAGUAAGUUGUACAGAUAAAGAUGUCGUUGUCUUGCUGUUGAUGUUCUUUCUAGGCCCUGGAAGUUAUUGACCUUGAUCAGAAAACAGAACUUGUCCAUGAACUCAAUGGGCAUGUAAUGAAGUGCGUACGAGAUCAAAAUGGGAACCAUGUAAUCCAAAAAUGCAUUGAGUGCAUACCUCCUGAAAAAAUUAACUUCAUUAUCUCCUCAUUCCAAGGCCAAGUAGCUAUAUUGUCUACUCAUCCUUAUGGUUGUCGUGUAAUCCAGGUAUUAUUAAACUAUGUUGUACCAUGACAUAUAGUUGCUUUUUUAAUAUUUCAACUGACUCCCAUCUCAUUUCAUAUGAAUUUUCCAAAGAGAAUAUUGGAACAUUGUUCAGAAAACUCUCAAAGUCAAAGUAUAGUGCAUGAAAUCUUGGAAUCUGCUUAUCCUCUUGCUCAAGAUCAGUAUGGGAACUAUGUCACCCAGGUUUGUAUCUAUUUUUUCUCCGUUUGAUAUACAAAAACUUUCUUUCUUAUUGUUAAGUUCUGUAACUUCCUGAUCACUAUAUGUGACUUCUUCUCUUCCAACCAUAACAAAAAAGCAUCUAUUGUGCAAAUUAAAUAAUUAGUGUGGUGUGAUGGGGACAUUACUGGCUUAUUUUAAGUGUUCUGUAAAUUCCUUCCUUUCAAUUAGACAUCGAUGUCAUUCAAUAAGAAGUAAAAUAUAAAAUUAUACAAUUCUCAGAAAAAUAGAUAUAUAAUAUUAUACAACUCUCUGAAAAAUAAAUCAUAAAAUUAUACCUUUCAGAUAAGGAUGUGCAAUACAUGAAUAGAUUUUUUUUCAAAGUUCCCCUUGGCUUCCUGUGUGUCUGUGCUAUUAUUGUUGUGUGCAUGCACCCAACCGCUCCCCCCCCCCCUCCCCCCCAAGAAUAGGAAGAGGGAAAAACUAAAUGGCUCUAAAUUGUGUGCUCAACUGGAAAAUAGAACAGUUUGUUUGGGGACAGUGAUGGACCAAAGGGCACCGGUAGUGUUAACAUAAGAAUUUAUGGCUGCAGCAUGUUCUGGAGAGGGGAAGACCACAUGAAAGAAGUCGAAUUAUCGGAAAGUUGACCGGAAAUGUUGUACAGUUAAGCCAACACAAGUAUGCCUCAAACGUUGUUGAGAAGUGUCUGGAAUAUGGUGAUUCUACUGAGAGAGAUUAUUUGAUCGAGGAGAUUCUUGCAGAGUCAGAGGGAAAUGACUGUUUGCUGGUAAGGCAAUCUGAAUUCUUGUUUACUAUUCUUGCGUUUUCCUUCACAGCUGUAAUUCAGUAAUCAACUAUUUCACAUAGCAAUUUCUGUGAAACCUCUUUGUAAAGGACGAUAGGAAGAUCAUGUGCCUAAACUGAGUUAAGCCAACUUCUCUUUGCUUUCCCAAUCACUUAUAUGGUCAUUUGGCAAAGAAACUGAAAUGUGGGCCAUUCCCUGUGUAGUUGUGUAAUUACUUUCUCAAACAUGCUUCAGUGAGAUAUAGAACCUAGAAUUCCACCAUCAGAGGAUCUUUUUUGAAAAAUGCAAAUAGGAGUAGUAUUAUAACAAUUUGCUCUUUGGAAUUAUGCCCUAGCUCUUUCUCUAGCCUCAUCAGCUAGCAAUCUUUUUCUCGUCCUGUUUCACUUCAAGAUAACUUUUUCAAUUUAGACUUUGCGAGAACCUUUUGGGAGAAAUUAUCAGUGAUUCAGUGUAAUUUAACAUGUCGAAGAUUUCUUAUUUUAUUUUCCGUUCUACAGAUUUCACUUAUUAUGUGUAAUUAAUUCUAAUUUUUAAAGUUACCUAAUAGUGCAAGCAAAUUUAACCCUGCAUUCUUUUCCAUUUUUCUUUUAUUAUUAUUAUGUAGUGGAAUUAAUUAUAAAAUGUUCAACAGAUUGUAAUGGGGGGAAGAUGAUGUCCUAAUUCUUAGAUUGCAAGAUUAGCUGAUGGAUUUUUGAAAUGAUGGGAAAUAUUGAAAUUGUUUUUAUAACAAUUUGAUGCCAGCCUAAUUUUUAAAGUAACCUAAUAGUGCAAACAAAUUUAACCCUGUAUUCUUUUCCAUUUUUCUUUUAUUAUUAUUAUGUAGUGGAAUUAACUAUAAAAUGUUCAACAGAUUGUAAAUGGGGGGAACAUGAUGUCCUAAUUCUUAGAUUGCAAGAUUAGCUGAUGGAUUUUUGAAAUGAUGGGAAAUAUUGAAAUUGUUUUUAUAACAAUUUGAUGUCAGCUGCAAAAGAUCUAUUUUUGGAUGGUAGACAUUUUUGUUAAAUUGUCCAAAGGAUUCUGCCUAGGGAAAAAAGGCUCUCUGCAUGUGUAAGGAGAAAGUUCAUUUAUCUAACAGAUUCUGGUUUGCACCUUAGAUAUUUGAUCUGGGCCUUAGAUAUUUGAUCUGGGCCAGCGGAAUAAUACUAUUUGGUGUUUGACCUUUUAUUGGAUGGAACACUGCAAGAUCUGGGUCACUGCAAAACAUGAUAUCAGUGAAUUAGUGUACUGAUUGAUUAGAUCCUAAUUAGGACCCUAUAGUGAAUCUAAAAGAAGGGGAAAAGAAGUACUUGCUACCUUAUUAAAAAAAAAAAGAAGGGAAACGAAGUAAAAUAGAUAUAAGCCAAAGAAGAAGAGUGAAUGAAUGAAGAGGACAGCGCAAAUGAAUUGUUCGUUGAAAAGAGAUGAGACCUUUCUUCAGUAUGUUGAGGAUUUUAUGCAUCAAUUGUUACAAUACUUCUUUUUGUUUUCAAAAGGAAAGGAUUCUGGUUUUGGUUUUCUUAAGUCCUGGUAGGAAGCAGUGGUAUACUAGCUAUGCCUGCCUGUCUUUAUGUUGUGGGAUGAGUUUGAUGGUCACAGCUCUUAGUUUUGUCCAAUAUCGCAUCAUCUAACAGUUUCACACACACACACACUUGCUCUACCUAUUUAUAGUAGUUGUAUGCCUACCCUACCCACCCUCUCUCUAUCUCAUAGGCAUCACCAAUCUUCAUUUGCCGAUCAUUUUCCUUUUUGAAUGCACAUGUAUUAAUAGUCUAUGCAAGGAGAUGAGCUAGGGUGCAUUCCUUGAUUGUUUUCAUACAUGCAUUGUUUUAACAUGGUAUAUUCUGUCUCUAUUUUGGUGGGGUUGGGAUAAAUUUUCUUGUCCUAUCAAUUACUGAAAAAAAGAAGAAAUUAUUAUCCUAUCGCAUGUUUUUGGUAAGGUAUUGCAUCCAAUUGAUAUAAAACGCAAGUACGAUCUAUCCACCAUGGAAAGAGGUGGUUUACAAUAGUGAAGCUAAUAGCUCUGAAAGUAGUUUGGAAAAGAUUGUGGAACUGUGCAACUAACUACACUUUCAGGAAGGCAGAAGCUUUAGACUCUGUGGGGCCUACCCUUGUCACUUGGGCUAGUCCACCUAGACUGAGAUAGUAAUGUAUUUAACUGACCUCAAGUCUAAUUGGUAGGAAGUGGUCUCAGCUGUAAGUCUAGAAUUUUCUGUAGAACUAAUGUCAUUUUUCUCACUUCUCUAUUUGGUGAAUGUGAAGUUCUAAUUUUUUUCAAAGCAGUGACGAAUGAGUUUUUCCUAAAUUGACUUAUUGACGGGGAAAUUUUGGCUCUCAUGGUAGACAAUGAUGAAGGACCAAUUUGCAAAUUAUGUGGUCCAGAAGAUUCUUGAGAUUAGCAACAAUAAGCACCGGGAAAUUCUGCUAAGCCGAAUCAGAGUUCAUCUUCAUGCUUUGAAGAAAUACACCUACGGAAAACACAUAGUGGCUCGAUUUGAACAGCUCUCCGAACAGCUGUGUAAUGAAGGUGUGUAGAAGUUAAGUGGUCUGAUUUAUGUGUGCAACUGCUAUUAUUUGUUGCUGCCGUUGACUGAUUAACUGACUUUCAUGUUUUGGGGGGAUUUUAGUGCUUUGAUCUAUCCAUACAUGUUUUGCACAUUCUACCAUUUGUCAUGCAGAUAUUGGAACCUGUGAACCCUAGAUCGUUGAACAAAGAGUUCUCUACUCGUCCGGUGGACGGUGGAAUUGUUUGCAGCAGCCGAACUGUUGAUUGUUCAGUAAGCAGUAUGCAAAGUACCAGUGGUAACUGUUAACCCUAGAGUGGUGUUGUUUUAUUUGCCGACUAUAUCCAAGAUUGUAGAUAUCUUGAAUAAUCGAAGCAUGUAUUAUGGGAGAAAAAUAUUCAGUGCGCACUAAAUUAGUAAGAUUUGCUUGCUUUGGGGGUGGCUUUCUACAAAUAUGCUCAAAAGCAGUUCAGGGAAACAUGCCAUAAGGUUGUUUUUUUUUUGUUCUCUGGAAUGGGUGGUUGCAGGGGAAUCAGGGUAUUUGCGGUUGCAAGUUAAAGGACCAUGUCCUCUCUUUGUUAGAGCAGGCUCCUUUUUUUUUAUGUAGUAACACAAAAUUACGGCAACAUUCCCUAGUUUCUCCAACAGUCAUGUUAGUCUCAUUUUUGAGUUAAAAGGAUCAUCACUGAAAAACUAAAAUAGGAAGAAAUGACAUACUCACUCAUUUGCCACCCAAGUGGGAUGAUUGAGAUCUCUUUUAUUUAGAACAAAAAGAAAACUAUAUUGAUCUGGAGCAUUUUUCUCCCACUGACUUGGCGCUAAUACAAAUUUGUUGGAAUUCUUUAGCAUCAUAUGUUGAAAUUAUAUUUUUCUUCUGAAGUUCUCUUCUCGCUAAAACUCAAUUAAUUAUAUUUUUCGUCUAAAAAUUUUCAACACAACGUGACCAGUGGUGGUGCCCGCCCUUCUCUAUUGAUGUUUAAGUUGCUGGAAAAUUAAAAAUAAUUGUGGACUAGUCAGGGAAGAAACCAAAGACUAGCCUUAGAAGUUAGAAUGAGCAAGUAUACCAUAUUGUCCAUCCAAGGAUCAUUUGAGGCCGACUUAUCAGAGGGUCUUUAUUUUAUGAAAAAUGACACGAAGGGUUUGCUGAGGUGAUGAAGUUGAUGUUUCUAAAGAGAGCAAUGGAAGAAUAAUACUGACCGCUCGUCAAACCAGUAAAGGUAAGGUAAACCGUAAAUAAAGAUUAAAAAGGGAAAGGGAGAGCAAAACCUACUGUGUCAAGUUUCAUGACCUCUCACAACAUAACAGAAGUUUUUUCACCAUUAUGCAACUUAUGAGAGCAAUUUAGAACAUCAAACACAUGAUAUCUGAAGACAACCAAAAAUUGGGAGGUAUCCCGCCUUUCCUAAGCAUAGGCUGCGAUGCAAAAAAAAAAGAAAACAGAAAGAAGAAUAAAAAACAUGUUCACUCCAGUGCACCGAAAUCAAGAACCCCCUUGCUCCCAUUUCUAACAUGUAGGAAAAUAGAAAAAACCUGGCCCAUUUGCUUCUCAAAGCCUCACUGCCUCUGCCCAUGCUAUGCUUAAAGUUAAAUCUAGUCACACCAAGUAGUACACAACAAUGACCCCUGAGAAACAGUACUUGAGAAAUUCCCAAGGCUUGUAAUUCCAGCAAUAAUCAUAAAUGCAUGUCUGUUGCUUACAGAAAUGUUAAAGAGAUCUCUUUGCUCACGGAAAGAGCAGGGAAGAUGGGAAGCAAAAUUUGUGGAUGCGUAUAAAUAACAAAUCUCAUGAUGACAGAGACCACGUUUAACUCUUACCAUCACCAGCUUCUAGCUUGAGCGCAUAAUAAUAAGAUUUCAUUUACUGUACUACUAUUUGUCUGCUGUUACACAUGACGUCUAUCAGCAAGCAAUAUAUCUUUCCAAGCUUCAUACAACGUCCAAGUAAUGCCUGAUGAUGGCAUUACUUUUAGGCAACUUGCACCCCAGCCUCUAUAAAGGCCUAACAAACCCUCCUCCCUAAUAACUUCUGAAAGUGCUGCGACCAUGUGAGGUGGACAUUUACCUUGUAAAGCACCCACCAUUAGCCGCUUUCUCGCCACCUCCAAUGGAUAACUAAUAGUGCUUGCUGUUAAACCUGAUCGACAAUAACAUUAACUCUUUAGAUCACAUGGUAAUCUUGUAAUCUGUCUACAAAAGGUGGCAGGUCAAAACAUAAGAGUCUCAUCAGUGUUAAAGCAACAGCAGAUAUGCCCCAGUAGUACCAUAUCCCUAUUUGCAGUUAAAGGAUCUUCAAAAGUGGACAGUACAUUACCUUAAAUAAUAGAAAAUUAUACUAACAUAUAAAAGCUUGAGAUUAACAAUGAAGAAUUCCUUCGACUUGCCUCGCAAAGUCCAAAUUUCUACUUUAUUUUAGAAAAUCAAAUAUAUGACAAUUUACACUGUCACCCCUAGUUUGCUUGUUUUAGAAAGACCAUCUCCUUGUUUAGUACUUCCUCCGUUCCUUUUUAUAUGUCAUCCCUUCCCAUAAAUAGUUGGACCAUAAUACUUAUCAUUUCAUAAAAACAAUGCAUAAAUUACCAUAUUCUUCCUAUUAUACCCUUGAUAGAGUAGUUAAUUAGUCUUGAAAAUAUGUAGUUUGACCAACCUAGAAAAACUAAUAAGUACUUAAUAUUCAUUGGAGUACUUCAUAGAUUGAUUAAUUACUCUCUCCAUUCACUAUUCUACAAAAUCUGAUUUUGAAAAUAAACUCAAAAAUUUAAAUAGUCAUCCAAAUGUAUUUUAAUUUUUGAAAUCUAGCAUAUUCAUCAUUUAUUGAAAAGUUGACUUAAAGAAAACAUGAAAUAAGGGUAGAAGGGUAAAAUUACUUAAUUUCUUAAUGCAAGUGCAAUCUAAAAAGGUGACAUAUAAAAAGGAACGGAGAGAGUAUAUCAUAUCUAUCAAAACUGAUUCUCAUCCUCCAUUGAAAUAGAAACCCACUCCAACAACAAGAUCACACUCUUUAUUUCUAUUGGCAUCAUACUACAGAAAUUUUCUGAUUUACUUCUUUUGUUCUAUGCUGACCACUAUCAGUGUGAUUAUAUCAAAUGUGUGGGCAUUUAACAUUUAAGGAAAAAACAUCAUGUUGCUAUCUCCUUGUAUUAGCCAAAUGCUCAUAAUUUUUAACCCCAAACUAUUUCUUGCUAGGAUUUUCAUAAAAAUCCCAUUGUAUCCUGCAGUAUGGACCAUCUCAGCAUCAGAGAGGGUACAUGAUUCAGUGACAUUAUUGCAAUUAGACUUAAAAUCAAUUGUUCAGCUCAUUAGAACUAAUUGCUCUAGUAUUUGUCUCCCCCAACAAAAGAAUUCUGCAUGUAAAUUCAACCAUAUCCCUUCUUAGUCACCUUGCAAGCACCUCCGUUACAAUCUUAUAGAUACUACACACCAUAAUGAUUGGUCAAAAAUAUACUUAAAUGUACGAUGCUCCUUUUUCCAGAGUCUGUACAAUGGAUGUCCUUUCUCCUCUCUGCAGCGAUAUUAAAUCUAGUCCUGGUAUUGUUCUUUUGACCUCGUGCAUCGGAGGAGAAAAGCAUCACAGGCUUGUUUCAGUCUUUACUAUUUUUCUUCCAGUAUUUUACAUCAACCUUUCAUCUUUGUUCAUGUGCUGUUCUUUUGACCUGCCCAACCAGUUGCAUACGUAGGAAGGGCUUUAAAAGGUUAAAUCCAGUAAUUGAGAUAAGGAAUUAUCAACUCAAAGCAUAACGGUGCUGUAAUCUGUGCAAACGAAGUCCAGUGGACUAACUCAAGUAUAACCUUGAACUGCCACUGGAGGAGUUCAACACACAACUGUAAUGCUAAUUUCCAAGUCAGCACUUCCAGAUUUUGUGUUGAUCGUGAUACACAAAUCUUCCCGGAAGUAAGGACUUGCCAGUCAAGAAUGCACACCUAAAAAAGAUGAAGUGCCACAAAUGAGGAUGCUCAGAUGGAUGUAUGGGCCUUCUAGUAGAUUAGGAACGAAGUUACACAGGACAAGGUGGGAGUGGCCUCUGUGGCAGACAAGAUGAGGAAAGUGACGCUUAGAUGAUUUGGGGCAUGUAAACAGACGGUGCACAGAUGCACCAAUAAGGAGGUGUGAGAGGGGUGGCUAUAGCAGGUCCUAGGAUAGGUAGACGUAGGCUGAAGAGGAAUUGGGGGGGAGAGCAUUAGACUGGACAUGGCACACUUGCAGCUUACUGAACAUAGACCCCAAAUAGGAAGGUAUGAAGGUCGAAGAUCAACGUAGAAAGGUAGUAGGUAGCCGAGUGCUGUGUACUUGUAUGUGGGAGAGGCAGGGGCCUCUGCUCAUCUUUUCCAUAGCUAAUAAGAAUAAGAAAUGAGACAAAGGAUCUCCUUGUCUGAAACUCCCUUUGUGAUUUAAAGAAACCUGUUGAUGAGCCAUAGAAAAGAAACUCAUUGUUGAUAUGCAGAACUGUUCAUAUCAAUCCUCUUUACCACAAAUAGCAGAUCACUGUGAAGUUAAAGAAAAUUUGAACCUAGGAGAGAGUGUGUUUGAUUCAAGAUUCUUACCUGAGAAAGCUCCAACUAGGAGCAUCUCUGCACGGCUUAGAGAUUCUUUCUUUUGUGCACGGCAAUACGAUUUCUUAAUUGUCUCAUACAUGAAAUAAUAACAAGUGCUAUAUGGGAGCAUGCCAAUCAAUGUUGGCCCAAGUCCAGCAUACAGGCCUGCAAUUCCACCGUCCUUGUAAAUCUUGUGAACUGCAAUGCGUAUGCUGGGGUAGACCUCAGGACUCACCGUCAACCGAUCCUGUGAAGCACGUUGAAUCAGCACUUAAAAAUGUGAGAUAAUUUCUCCUUGCCACAAGCACAAUAACUUAAUGACAUAACUGUGCAGAUAGUCAUGAACACUUUGAAAACCAAAGCUAUUGUUUUCCCACAACAAAACUCUCGAGUUAAAAUACCUUCAGCACUUCCAGCGGAUGACAUGCAAGUGUGCUUACAACUCCAGCAGCAGCACCAGCAACAGCAACUGGCGAUAGCCAUGAGAGAGAAAAGCUCAGGCUAGCAUUACCAAUCUGCAGCUUGGGGCUACCAGUAUCCGUCCAUUUCUCUUGUGCUGAAGUCAUUGCUCGCUUGACACACUCAAAUGUCCCAAGUUCAAUUGCUUGUGUGGGAAUUAUCCGUAGCAUGUUAAUUGUAUUACCUGCCCACAGCCCUUGCCAACCCUGCUGUUCAAUAACCUGAAUAAAACUUGUACCAAUGUUUCUGGACCCAACACCAACUACCAUUCUUGUCCUGCAUAUUUUAAAUACCAAAAUUAGGUAACAUAACCAAAUGAAUAGUAAGCCAAUUUAAAGCAAAUAAAAAUUCCUGCAAGUCAAUUCAUAUCCUAUAUGAGGAGCUUCACUGACAGAUAUAUUUUAUUUAUUUAUUUAUUUUUUUUAAAAAAAAAGUAACAUAAGGUAGCUACUAUAUAGAUGAACAGUAACACUAUGAGAGUGCUACAGAAGAUCACACAUGGAGAUAAAGCAUGCCCACCAAAGUAGUUGCAUCAUUUAUAAAAGACUGCAUGGACCAAAAAUAUAGCAAACGAAUAGGCCUGUCUUUAAAAUUAUGUGAUACCUUUCAAACCAAGCUGUAACAAAUGCAGCAAUUUGUUAACAUAAGUUAAUAUUUAGCGCUCUAACGCCGUAAGAUUUUCCACCUUUUCUUUUUAUGCCGAUGUAAUUUUUUUUUUUAAAAAAAAAAAAAAUCAAUGCACUUAUAAACACGUUGUAACCAACCUGAUGGUUUCAAGAGGAGCUAGAAUGGCCUUAGUCAUCGCCCCAGCCAAAGCCCCGCUGAAAAAUUCACCAACUUCUUGAGUCCUGAUAAAAUCCUGCAGAGAUAAUGCAACAUUUGAGCGACAAUCAAUGAUAAACUCAAAAUAGUAGAUGAUGAAGCUACAUUAAAGACUCGUCCGACGUCAGGGAAGUUGAGUUGAAGGUUAAUUUGACGGUCCUUGGUAGGAGAGAGGUUGAAGUCCUUGGGUAUAAUCAUGAUAUCUCCGACGACACAGUAAGUCUUCUUCUGCGAUUGGGAUUCCGCAGCCAUAGAGACAAUGAACAGAUUAGUAGUUGAGGUGUGCCGCAUUUACAAUAAAACUUCAAAAAUCCUAAAGACUAACGCCGGCGAGACAAGAGAAAACAUGGAAAAUGGAGAAAACGUUUUCCCUGAGACUAUGGAGGGAGAUUUUUCUUUUUGACUCAAAUUUCCGAUAUUAUUAGGGUUUUCUUCUCCUGUGAUAGUUUCCAUGUAAUCAUUUAUUUUAUCAACUAAGUUCUUAAAUGUAAAAUAUAAAAUUACUUAAUAUUGUCUAACGUACUUUUAUAUUUUUUUUACAUAUAAAAUAAACUUUUUUUAGUGAUUACUUCAUGUUUAGAACUUAAAUAUUAACAAUUUUCUUGGUGAAUGAUGAGCAAUUUGUAAGGCUAAAACUAAGUCUCAAGGCUCAAAUUUCUUGGGACAUAAAUACUUCAACAAUCAUCAAAAAUAAAAAAAUGAAUGAAGGACAUAAUCCAAUAAUAAAAAUAGUGAUCAAUAAAAAAUAUACAAGAACUGUUAAAUUACGUAUUUCUCUAACAACUAUGAAAAUAAAAAAUGAAAAAAGGCACAAAUCAAUAAGAAAAAUAGUGACCAAUAAAAAAAUACUCCUUACAGAAGAACUAUUAGAAGAUGAAACACAAAGUGUGAUGGAUUAAUAUUUUUUAUCCAAUUUAUAAGGGAGAAAUUAAGUACAUGAAAGAUUUGUGCAUGAAUAUGUUUAAUGGUGAAAGCUAAAAAGUUUUAAAAAUUAAAUUUAUUAAGAAAUGAAAAAUAAUAAGUUGUAAUAUCUAAUCAUGUAUUUUGUCUAGUUUCAUUAUCAUUAUUGAUUUUUUUUAUAAAUUAAUUAAAAAAAUAAAUUUUAAAAAAUUAGUGAAGGACAUUUUCACAAUCUAACUUUGAACUUCAUGUAACGAUUCAGAAAAAAAUUAGUAUAUAAAUAAGAAUAAAUAGGUAUUUAAGGGCAUAAUGGUCCUUUCACGUUUUAAAUAAAUAAAUAAAAAAAAAAUAUUUGUAUUUAUUUAUUGUAAAUUCUAUUUGACUAAUUUUUGAAUUAGUCUCCUAAUCCUAAUAGUUCUCUCUUUUCACGUUUCUUGACUCUCUCUCGCGUUCUCCAUCUUCCUCACAUUAUUUCUGUCAAAUAUCAACAGUUCUUCAUGCUUGAAGAACUCACAUAAAAUUUUAAGAAAAACAAAGCAAUCAAAAAAAAUAUUAAGGCGAAGAGGAGUUGUUCGUUGAGUGGUGUGGACGUCGACCUUAUGCGCACAAGUGCUGCUGCAUGCAAAAUAGCAUGCCCCCACAUCGACACAGAUAACUUUGUUCUCAUUAGUAAUUGUCUAGCUAUCAAUUGCAGACGUUUAAUCAAUGAUUCUGCUAGACCGUUUUGAGUGUGAACAUGAGCAACUGGAUGUUCAACUGUUAUACCAGUAGACAUACAAUAAUCAUUAAAUGCUUAAGAUGUAAACUCACCAGCAUUAUCUAGACGGAUUGUCUUUAUUGUAUAGUCUGGAAAUUGUACUUUUAAUCUUAUUAUUUGAGCCAGCAAUCUCGCAAAAGUCAUUUUGCGAGUUGAUAAUAAACACACGUGUGACCAUCUUGUAGAAGCAUCUAUCAAGACCAUAUAAUAUUUAAAGGGUCCACAUGCAGGUUGAAUUGGUCCACAUAUAUCACCCUGUAUAUGUUCCAGAAACGCAGGGGAUUCAAUUCCAACCUUAAAUGUUGAUGGUUUAAUGAUCAACUUUCCUUGAGAACAAGCAGCACAAGAGAAUUCCUUUGAUUGAAGGAUAUUUGGGCUCUUUAAGGUGUGCCCAUGUGAAUUCUCAAUGAUUUUGCGCAUCAUAUUAAAUCCGGGGUGGCCCAACCGGUCAUGCCAAAUGAUAAAAUCAUUAAAAUUAGUAAACCUUUUGUUUACUACGGCAUGUGAUUCAACUGUACUUAUACUUGUAUAGUACAACCCAGAAGAAAAUGCAGGUAAUUUUUCGUGCACAAUUUUCUUCUCUACAUUAAUUGUAGUUGUAACGAUUCAAAAAAAAAGAAUUAUAUAAAUAAGAAUAAAUAGGUAUUUAAGGGCAUGAUUGUCCUUUCACGUUUUAAAUGAAUAAAUAAAUAAAUAAGUAAAUAAAUAAAAUAGAUUUGUAUUUAUUUAUUUUAAAUGUUAUUUGACUAAUUCUUGAAUUAGUCUCCUAAUCCAAAUAGUCCUCUCUCUCUCACGUCCUCCAUCUUCCUCACAUUAUUUCUGACAAAACAUCAACAGUUUUCAUGCUUGAAGAACUAACAAAAAAAAAAUUUUAAGCAAAAGAAAAAGUAAUCAAAAUGUCAAGGCUAAGAGAGGUUUGUCGAGAGAGGUGUACGUUGAAGUGAAUUGGGAGUGGGUUGGAGGAGCUUUCCGGGCAGCAACAUUAAAGUUUGAACAUCGAUUAAGGUAUGGGUUUCUCUCAUGGAAUUCUUUCUCCAAGAGUACUUUCUUUCGGACGUUUCUUAAACUCUUGAAACUAAGGUUGUUCCCCUUCGUAUGUCCUUGUCCUUAGCUCCCUAAUGAAUUUGUAGGAUGGGUAUGUUGUGCUGCUAGAUUUUUGCAUGAAUGAUGUGUUUAAAUUAAAUAUGAAUGUGUUUAUGUGCGGGAAAUCGCGAUAAUGAUCAUCAAAAUAUGACCGGAAACAGUUGAUGUAUGGGUGUGUAUAGGGUAGUGUUUUAGGCAUUGUUUUGGGGUAUAUAAGUUGUUUAUUUAUCAUGUAUUUUAUGUGUGAAAUGGGUGUGCAAUGUGAUGUUCAUUUUGAUGAAGCAUAGUGAAGUGAAUGAACCAUGAAAUCUCCCUAAGAACUAAUGUGAAACUUGAUGAAAAAGUGCAGAAAAAUAGUGGAAUAAAUUUCCAAAAACAUAGAAAUAGGUUUAAAAAGAAUCUGGAAAUUUUUGGAUGUCAAAGAAUUAAAAAAAAACGUUUUGAGGCCUGCAGGGAUCGAACCCAGGACCUCCCUGCAGCUGCCUUAACAAAAAAAAGAUUUAAAAAGGGAAUGUUGGGGGCGGGGAUCGAACCCGCUACCCCCAUUCGCGAAAAAGAAAAAAAAAACAGAAAAGGGAUGCUGGGGGCGGGGAUCGAACCCACGACCCCCGUUCGCAACAAAAUAAAAAUAAAAAAUAAAAAAUAAAAAGGGGGAUGCGAGGCGUGGGGAUCGAACCCACGACCUCAGGGCUGAAGGGGGGAUAAAAAUAUUAAGGGAAUAAAGGUGAGGCUGUGGGGGUUCGAACCCACCACCUCACAGCCUCCAUUCCCAGCGAAAUUAAGAGGAAAAUAAAGGGGGUUGUGGGGGUUCGAACCCACAACCUCCCUAUUCAAGCGAAUUUAAUUAAAAAUAAUAAUAAUAGUAAAUUAAAAUUCUAAUUAAAGUUGGAAAAUUAAUUCUCUUAUGUAAACAUUGAGAUUUAAUUUAGAAUUUUAAUUAAAAAUAGAAUAUUAAUUCUUUUAUGUAAAUAUUGAGAUUUAAAUUGGAAUUCUAAUUAAAUUAGAAAAUUAUUCUUUCAUGUAAAUGAUUGAAAUUUAAUUUAGAAUUCUAAUUAAAAUAGAAAAUUUAUUAUUUCACGAAAAUGUUGAGACUUAACUUAGAGUUCUAAAUUUAUUAAUAUUAGAACUAAAAUCAAUGAAAAAUAUAAAUGAUAUCCAAAUAAUUCAAAAUUUGGGUUCUCGUGUCCAAACCUCCGUAUUGAUACAUAAGUCAUACGUGAGUGAAAUAUUCAAGAAUAAUGUCAUCUACUUAGAUCAAAAAUCAAACAUCUUGGCAUAUAUACAAGAUACAUAAGUCUUGUAAUACAUAAUCUUAGAAAAACAAGAAUUCACUUAACGAACUAUAAAUGAAGCCUCAUGGCUUGUAUGUAUAGAUAUAUAAGUUUAACAUACGUUCAAGAAUAAGUGAACCUAAGAUAUACAUAAUGAAAUGAAGAAUGUGGUGACAAUCAUGAUGUGAGGUUAAUGCAUAUGAUGAGAGCAAUCUUAAAUGAGCCUAAGUAAAUGUUACCGAUACAUACUCACCAAUGAGAGUGUAAGAUAAUGAAGAGACCAGUCUCUAUGAAUACUCUAAUAAAAAUAUUGAGUUUAAAACACUUAAUACUAAUGAUGAGAUGAGAAAUCAUCUAUUGAGCUAUGAUGUCCUCAUACUAGAAACAAACUUCUAUGAUGUAUGAGUUGAAUGUAAUGGAACUUUAUACCGAGCACCGAUAGGCUAGCUAUGAGUGGUGAUGCCUUCUUUCGGGAAGGGCGGAGGUUCACGUAAUUCUCAUGAGAUGAGACUGUCCGGCUUGCCGGGUAUGGGUCUCCAUACAUCUCCUAGUCUUUGAACCUAUAUUGCCACUAUAGGGAUCUGGCGGGGUUAAAUUCCCAUAUACGCUAGCAUGUUAUUGAAUUGCUUUGGCCGGUGAUUCCACCUCUUUUCGGUGUGGGGAAGACACUGGAUUUCAUGAUGCUCACAUGAUCUAUGUCGGUUAAAGUUAAAGUUCCCAAUGAAUGAAUGAGGCCAGCCUCAAAUGAAUCAUAUAAAGAAAUGAAUGAUACUGAAGGUGUUAGGAUAGGAUAAUCAAGAGGUGAGCUAGAUUCAGGUAAUAACAUUAGGUCAUUCCUGAUCAUUGCACAGCAAACCUGAUGAAAGUCUUAAACUACAUCCUAGGUAUAGCUGGUGUUCGCACUGGCCUAUGAAUGAAUUGAAAUGAAAUACGAAUGAAUGAGUGAAGCAGACUCUGGGUUUGCUAAAGAAGGCUCCCUAGUUGAGGUCCCAUAUGUUGAGCCCUCAUUUUGGAAAGUCUUAAAGUUAAGUCUAUGAUAAUAAGGUCUCAUGGUAUACGAAUGAAUAAUAUGAAAGAAAGUAUGUGUUAUAUGUUAUGUGUUAUAUGAAUAUGUUAUGUUUUGUGUGCCAUACGAUAAUUAUAAUGAUGCAUGUCACUCUCAUGGCAUAACUUUCCCAAUCUCAAUUUGGCAAGUCCACUGACUUGACUUCCAAAAAUCAUGUUGUUAGGAAAGAGCUAUUCUUUCUCAUGUAUGUCCCUGGUGUGUACUUGCAUAUACCCAUACUUAGUACAAGUGUGUACUAAUUCCAUACGAAUAUCUACUUUUAGGUGCAGGCACAGGUGGACGCUAGAGCUACAGGUUCGUUGUCGCAGCUAUCCGGACAUCAGUACUCAUCCGGAGUUUGGUAGGUCCUCAUGCUUUCGAGGAUGCUACUGUUUUACAUUCUAGCGUAGUUUUAGAGUUGAGCUAGUGGAGCAUGUUCCACUAGCGUUUCUUUCCUGUUUUGGUUCAAACUUUGUAUUGGUGCUAUUUUGGUAGAUAUACAAUUAAUACUUAAUGAAUUAUUUUUUUUCAGUUGCUUAUCUCUUAAAUGUUAGAUGGUUGAUGAUGAACGAUUACGAAAUGUUAAGAAUGUUCAGCAAGUAUGAUUAAAGAAUAAAAAAAAUUCAAAUUUUCCGCUAAAAUUAAUCUAUGUAAAGUAAGAAUGACGUAAGUAGGCUUGUCUGCGACCUCUGAGAGGUCAACGACGCCGGUCUCGUCUGGGGUCUAGAUUCCGGUCGUGACAGUAGUAAUGUUAAGGUAUUCAACCUUUCCUUCAUUAGCCGUCUCAACACGAUAGCCAUUUUGGCGAAUAACUUUGAAACUUAAUAAGUUUUUUUGAGACUUACUACAAUAUAAUGCAUUAUCAAUGCUUAAUAUUGUCCCUCUAGGUAGUAAUAUGGUCGCUCUUCCAGAGCCCUCAAUUAAUUUUGUACUACCUGAUAUUGUGUUGACAUAUGCCAUUUUCAUAACCAAAUUAGAAAAGUAUUUCAUUUCUUUUAAUAUUGUAUGCGUUGAAGCACUAUCAAGAAGGCAUACAUCUCCAUUACUCAUCUUGAAUUCAACUGACAACUGAGGAUUUCUAUUAAUUUUCAUUAAAAUAAAAUACAUCAAAAGAAGGAAGAGACAAAAUUAACAACGGAAAUUUAAAUACUUCAACAUGAAUAACAUAAUAAUUAAAAAUACAUAAGUAAAAUAUUAACAAAUUUCAUUCCCCAGCUAAAAGAUCAAACAUUAGUUUCGAUCUCCAAAGAAGUCAUUAACUUCCAUAUGAGUAAUGUCACCAAGGCCAUCAAAAACAUCAUCCUUUAAAACCAAAUUUGCUUCAACAUCUUUAUCAUAUUUCUGAGAUGUUCCCGGCUUAUCACCAUCUUUAAGAGUCAUAUGUGACUCAGCUCGAGCAUUGGAAGAGGAAGCACCACUUUUAUUUCCUUUCUUUUUAAAGGAAUUUUGAUAGAGCCUUAUAAAAUGUUCAUGUGUGCGACAUUCAUUCUUCCAAUGGUCUUUCAUGCCACAACGACGACAAUUACUUUUUGAGGGGUUAUUUUGAGAACUCAUGUUGUUCUCCCUUUUAUUAUGACCACCACCUUGACGAUUAGUGUUUCGUCUUUUAUCUUUGUCACGUCCCCGUGCAUUAUUAUAUCCCCGAUGAUCAUCUCUUUUUACUUCAGAUUGAUCACGUGCUUCCACCACAUUUGCCUCCGGUAAUGGAGCAGCUCCAGUGGGACGAACUUCAUGAUUUUUCGUUAAAAGAGCAUUAUGUUGCUCAGCCACCAAAAGACAUGAGAUUAGUUCAGAAUAUUUCUGAAAACCCUUUUCACGAUAUUGCUGCUGCAAUAUCACAUUCGAGGCAUGAAAAGUAGUAAGUGUCUUUUCCAACAUGUCCUCAUCUUUUAUAGUCUCCCCACAUAAUUUCAACUGGGAGGUUAUCCUUAAUACAACAGAGUUGUAUUCAAUUACGGUCUUAAAAUCUUGAAACCAUAAAUGCAUCCACUCAUAACAAGCUCUUGGCAACACUGUUGCCUUUAGGUGGUCAUAUCUCCCCUUUAAAUCAGUCCACAAUUCAAGUGGAUCUUUCACUGUCAGAUAUUCAAUCUUCAGGCCCUCAUCAAGAUGAUGACGAAGGAAAAUCAUAGCUUUCGCCUUAUCUUGACUCGAUGCUUCAUUUCCCUGAGUAAUAGUGGCAUCAAAACCUUUAGCAGCCAAGUGAAUCUCAGCAUCGAGUACCCAUGAAAGAUAAUUCUUUACAGAAAUAUCUAAUGCCACAAACUCGAGUUUGGAUAAAUUCGACAUAGUGAAAAUUAUGAGAGAAUAUGUGAAUUAAAUAAAAAUAUUUAUAUAGUACUUUUGCAAGUAGCAAUUUCAUGCUGAUAACGUGUUGUAAAGAAAGUUCAGAAUAUAAGAUGAAAAAGACAAGAAGUAUAAGAUAGAGGAGAUAAUUUUCUUAUUCAAGUAUGUCAUACAAUGGUGAAUGAUAUUUCUAUUUAUAGUGUUGAGAUAUCAUUGUCAAAGGUCACCUUGAAAUUUUACAUAGUUAUCAUCAAGGUUCAUAUCACCUUGAUAUAUUAUCACAUUGGAAACACUAAUACAUGAAUCCAAUUAAUUGUUGAAUAACUCUAAUGGAUCAUCCACAUAUACAAUGGAUUUACAACAUAUUAGAAACUCACCUGUUUAACACACAUUUACUCUUCUUUCGUCAUUAUCUUCUUUCUUUUUUAAUUAAAUUAAGUUUGAACUUUUAAUAAUUAAAUAUUAGAGCAAUUUUCACAUAUAGCAAGUACAAAAUUCAUAUUUGUAUGUUAUAACAAAGUUUAGAUAAUUGCGCUUCAUAGCAAACAUAAAUAUGUAUAUUUUGUUAUACAUAUAAAAAAAAGCAGUUGUAUAAUUCGCUAUAUAUAUACAAAAGGAAAUAGUUAUAUACAAAUUAAUUGUAUAAUUUGUGUAUGUAUAAGCGAUAGAGGCGAGGGUGGCAAACAAAUCUGAAAGAGUAGCGAGUGAGAUUUUGAAGAGGAGAGAGAGGGGAACGAAUAUAUAUAUAUAUAUAUAUAUAUAUAUAUAUAUAUAUAUACAUUUUUUUCUCGAUUUAUACAAACACAAACGCAUUUUAUAUAUUUGUGUUUGUAUAAAAUCGAGAGGGAGCGAGAGAGAGAGGGAGAGUGGCGAGCGAGAGUUUGAGGUAGAGAAGUACCUAGCAAACAAUGUGCUACAAGGCACAAUUAAAUCAAAGUGUGGUUAUAACAUUUACUUUUGAAUUCUUAGUUUGUCAUUAUAUACAAUUUUUCCCAAAAAUUAACCUACUUUGUAUCAUGAUACAUAUAGAGUUGUGAAUAUGGACUAGGCUCGUUAGGUCGACCUGGCCUAACUCGGGAUUUAAUAAGAGUGGGCUUAGAUUAUUGGAGCCCGUUUAAGAAAAGGGUUUUUAAGCCCGGCCUGAAUAAGUCUGCUGAUUUGUGGGGCUUGAGAAAUAUCGGUAGGGUCGACACGUAUGCCAAUAAAAAUAAUAUAAUAUAAUUUUAAAAAUAAAAAUUAAAGAGAGUCCAAACUAAAAAAAUUAAGUUAAUAUUUCUAUUUAGGUAUUUAUACUUUUACUAGAAAAAAACUUAAUAAAUAUUAUAAAGAUAAUUUUAUUUGUGGAUUUGAUUAACAAGUAAUAACUUUAACAUCAUGUAAUAUUGUUUCGUCAACAUUUAUGGUAAUAUUUCAAAUUAUAAUGUAUAAUUUAAUUAAUAAUUAUAAAAAAAUAUAAUUUUUUAAAAAGUGAAUUGACCCGACAAGUCUGUAGCCCACGUACUUGUGGGUUGGGACGACUGUUUUAUGGCCCACUCUAAAAAUGGGUUAGCCCGGCCUGAUCCAUAAAACAUCAAAGCUUGUAUGGAUUAAUCUGAAUGGGGCGGACUAGCUCAUAUUGACAGUUCUAGAUUUAGAUGAUAGGUUGAUAGCAAUAUAUUUUGGAAAAAAGAUAAAAAUUCACCUUUAAGUUCUCUUGUUAUCAUUAUCCCCUAUUAGUUUUAUAAAUUCUAAAAUUUUACAUUAUCGCGCAUCAGAUUAAUGUAUAAGUGCAUCAGAAUAAUGUAUCUCGCGCAUCAAAUUAAUUUAUCUCAUACAUCAGAUUCGAAAACCUUUUAUGCAAGAACCCAAGACUUGGAGUAAAAAUUGGACUUUUCAUCUUUUUGAAAUCUUUGAAAAUCAUCUUUGAAAUUGGCUCUAAGGUGAUAGCAAGCCUCAGAUGAAGAACUUCCAUUCUUUAUUAGAAGAAUAUAAUGUAUCUCGCGCAUCAGAUUAGUGAAUCGUAUAUAAUAUGUAUAUCAAAUUAGUUUAUCGUGUAUAAAAUAUAAUGUAUCUUACUUAAAGAUUAAUGCAUCUCGCGCAUCAAAUUAGUGUAUCAGCACUUAUAUUAUUAUAUCAGUUUGAGAGAUUUCUGUACUUAUAAACUUAUAAAGAACAAAUAAAAAUUUUAUUGUAAUUUUUAUCUUAUGCCCAUAUAUUUUUCACGCCCUUGGUGAUAUUAUUAGUGCAGUUUCUCUUAAAUUGAUUAAAUGAAAUAAACACAUGCAAUUUGGCUUGUUUUUUUCUAAUAAAAAAUUGUUCCUAAAAUAGUUGAGGCUAUUUAUUAAUCGAAAAAGGACCUAAAAUACCCUCGAAGUAUUGAAAAUGGUACACAAUUACCCUCAUCCACCUAUUGGCCCCCAAAUACCUUUUACAUCCACCUUUGGGUCCAAAUUUACCCCUUCAUUAACGGAUCAAAAUUAAAAAUAAUUAAAUAAUAAGUUUUAAUUACGUGGCACUCAACCAUUAGUUGUAAUUUAAAAUUUAAAAUAAUUUUAAACCCACCCAUUUUAACUAAACCCGCCCCACUUGACCCAAUUUUUUUAAAAAAACCAUCUAAUUAAAAUACCCUAAAACCUUAUUCCUCCAAUUUUCACAACUUCCAUGGACUCCAUUGUCUUCUUCUUCUUCUCCAUGAAGAAAAUGUCAGCUUCUUCUUUGAUUUCUUCACCUGAAAAACAUUAGAAUUUUAAAAGCACUGCAUGUGACUCCUAGAAAAUGAACAUAUUUUAUUAAUGUCUCACAAUAGUCUUAUAUUCUAAAGGUCAUACAAAGUGAAACAAUAUAUUGUAUAAUAGUUCAUUUACGUGAAUUUAAUAGUGAGCCGCAACAUGUAGUUGAUUAAAUCUAUUGUUUAAUAAAUGAAGGACCCUCUGGAUUCAUGAAAGCUUUAAUCAUCAUGGGCAGCAUGUUUUAGUAAGUGGAAAUUUCGAGAGUUAUCUAUCAUUAGUAACAAUAGGGAACUGCCAUAAUUGAUUAGACUAAAAAAGGUAGUUAAAUUGCAUACAAUUAUUUCAACUGUGAGAGUGAAGUUCUUCAGGGGAAGAAAUCGAAGAAGAAGCUGACAUUUUCUUCAUGGAGAAGAAGACAAUGGAGUCUAUGGAAGUUGUGAAAAUUGGAGGAAUAAGGUUUUAGGGUAUUUUAAUUAGAUGGUUUUUUAAAAAAAACUGGGUCAAGUGGGGCGGGUUUAGUUAAAAUGUGUGGGUUUAAAAUUAUUUUAAAUAAUUAAAUUACAACCAAUGGUUGAGCGCCACGUAAUUAUUAAUUAUUAUUUAAUUAUUUUUAAUUUUGGUCUGUUAAUGAAGGGGUAAAUUUGGACGCAAAGGUGAAUGUGAAGAGUAUUUGGGAGCCAAUAGGUGGAUGAGGGAUAAUUGUGUACCAUUUUCAAUACUUCGAGAGUAUUUUAGGCCCUUUUCCGUUUAUUAAUAGGACAGUUGAAAAUUAUUAACAGUUGAUUUUGCAUAUGUAAAUUAGUAUUUAAUAGAAAAUAGAUAUAUAAAAUAGAAUUGGUCAUUUAAUUUUGUAUUGUCACGUGUUUCUUUGUUAUUACUGAUAUGAUUUAUGUUAAAGUAUGAUAAAAUUGAUAUAUAUAAAAUUGAGGUUGAUGCAUAUAAUUAAUGAAAAUAACAUAUUUAUAUGGUUAGCUUAACUAUCUAACAAGAGAAUGAAAAUAAGCAUAUUAUUUUCUUCAAAAUUGAAUUAGAAGUAUCCAAUUUAAAACUUUAGUAGAAAACGAGAUGUUUAAUCAGAAAGCAUCUUAGUUUGGGUGUCAGAAUGAAAUAUUCUGACGAAUUUAAAGAGUUGAGCGUGUAUUGAACCUAAAAUGAUUAUGGUCUUUUCAAUUUGUUUUUUCGAAAAAGGGCCUAAAAUAUCUUUAAGCUGUUGAAAAUGUUACAAAAUUACCCUUUAUCCAUCUAUUGGUUCCAAAAUGUUCUUUUCAUCCACCUAUUGGGUCCAAAAUACCCUUGUCAUUCACCUUUGAGUUCAAAAUUGACCACUUAUUUAAUGAUUUUAAAUUUAAACUAUUUAAAUAUUUUUUAAAAAUACUUGAUGCUCAACUAUUGAUUAUAAUUUAAUUUAUUUGUAUCAUUUAUAAACCAACUCAAUACCCACUCAUUACUAACUAAAUCCCACCCAAUUAAUAAUCCAACUAUUAUAUCAAAAUCGUCAUAAACACUAAUGAAACACAAUGAAAUUAUAGAUUUCUGAAAAUGAUAUUCAAAAUUAUUCGAAUCCGAAUCAAAGCUCCAAUUAAAUUUAUGUUGAGUCGUUUAUUUAAGAGGACACUUUCAAUAGGAUUUUCUUUCAAGAUUGAAUUAGAAAUUUAUGAUUAAAUGUAAAGAACUAAUAUAUCCCGAAUUAAUUCAUGCACUUUUUUAAAAUAUACUUUUAUAAAUAUUUAUCAUUUGUUUUAAAACCUUUAAUAUAUUAUUUUGAAAAAAAAGUUACGUAUAAAGUAACAUCACAUAAUUGAGACGUAAGAAUAAUUAAGAUGAACAUGGCCAGACUUUUAAAUUUGUCGGUAAUUUUUAUUUAGAUACUUGAAUGUAUGAUAAUUUACUUCUAUAGAUAUUUUCGUCUCAAAUUUUAAAAACACUCAAUUCGCAGUAGCUUUUCUGUUGUUGCAUUAAUAAUGUGACAUAUUUAUUAAUUUGGUGGGUUUAAUUAGUAAUGGGUGGGUAGUGGAUUGAUUUAUAAAUUAUACUAAUAAGUUAAAAUAUAACAAUAGUUGAGCGCCACGUAUUUAAAAAAAUAUUCAAAUAGUUUAAAUAUAAAACCGUUAAAUAAGUGGUCAAUUUUGAACCAAAAGGUGGAUGACAAGGGUAUUUUAGACCCAAUAGGUGGGUGAGAAGGCUAUUAUGGAGCUAAUAGGUGGAUUGAGCGUAAUUUUGUACCAUUUCAAAAAACUAAUAAUUAGUCUUUGACGGUUUGAAUUAUCAUAGAAUCAAAAAAUAUUUAAAUUUUUUGUGGUCUUAUAUCAAAUAUGUACAUUAAUUUAAUAAUCUUAAAUAUGUCAUGUAAAAUCUAAUUAUUGAAAUUAGAAAAAAAACAUAUUGAAAAUAAUAAAAUAUUCAUAUUAAAAUAGAUAAAUUUCAUUUAGUUAUUUUUUUAAAUAAAUUGAAUAAAAUAUUUUCUAAUUAACAUUGAUGGUAUUAUGUUAUUCUUUUUAUAAUCACAUGGUCCUCGAAUAUUACAUCUCAUUUUCGUUAAUAUGAUCAAAUUAAAUAAAUAAAUUCAUCAUAUGAAUAUGUUUUCGUGAAUUAAAAAUAUUUAUAUAUGAAUUCAAACUCUUUAACACAAUACAUAUCAAAACGAGGACUCGAGAGUCAAGAAAGCAUGCCUUGUUGUUUUAAAAUAUAAUAUAUAUUAUAAAGUUUAUAUUUUUCUCUAAUUUUUUUUAAUAAGUAAAUUAAAAUUAAAAUUAUAUGAGUUCAUGAUUUUACAGUUGGAAACUCAAGUAUUUGAUUAUUGAGUUUGAAUUUUAGCACACCGUGUUGCACUUUCAAUAGUAUUUUAUUUUGAUAUUAUUAAUUUAAUCUCAAAAAAAUAAUUAUUUCAUAAUUAUAUAAAAAUAGUAAUUCAAUAUCUAUAAACAGUCUUAAGACUAGUAAUUCCUCCUAAUUUUCAUAUCAUUUAUGACUUUUGCUCGAUUAAAAUUUUAUUAGAUACGAUUCGUUUCUUUAUUUAAAAAAGUUUUUGUAUGUUAUGUAUUAGAAAUGUUAUUUUUGGCUAGUUGACUAAUAAGAGAAAUAGUUUUUACCUCACAAACUUCAACUUGUUUGCGAAUGAAACGUAUGUCUACACAUAAUUUUAAAUUUUUUUUUUUGAUAAAGUUUUAAUUAAAUUUUUAUUCAAAGGAUCAAUGGUGUUCAUGAUUCGAUUUGGACCAUUUAUUAUCUAAAAUUAAAAUCAAAUCAGUUUAGUUAGUUUUUACAUUUUUAAAUCAAAUCAAAUCAAAUAAAAAGAAAUUAUCGAUUUAGUUACUAUUUGUUUGUUUGGAAAUUUGAAUAAUCCGUCUUGAUAGAGACAAAUACCUAAUAGCUGAACAAUAUAAAGUUAUUAUGGAUUUAACUAAGCAAUACAAAAGUUAUUAUUACACAAAUAAAGUGAUUCAAUAGAGAAAAGGUGUGACUGUCAAAUGUGACGUAGAGUAGAUAAAGAUUAAAGUAAUAAAUUUUGAUUUUUAAAUAGUCAGGCUAAAAUCAAGUGUCGAACUUGAGAGUUAAGAUUUAAGUUAAACAAAAUUUAACAAAAUAUUUAUAUUUUAUUUAUGAAUAAUAUAUAAAUAAUCAUAAUAUAUAUUUAUAAUUUCUCUGUCUGAUUUGGUUGUCUUGCGAUUUAUUUUUUAGUAAAAUCAAACGCAAAUCAAAUAACAUUAAUUUUUAUAAUUUAAAAUCAGGCCUAACUAAAUCACACUAACUAUCGAUUUUUUAAUUGAUUUGGUUUCAAUUGCAGUUCGAUUUGAUUUUCUAAUCAUAAUCAUGAACAACACUACAUACAACUAUGAAAUCUUUUAUUUUUUUAAUUUUUGGAUGUUCUUUCUGACAAGUAAAUUUUUUUAUUUUGAGUAUGUUUUUGUGUGGAAUUCAAUAAUCUUUUGACAUAAAGGGAUAGAAGUUGUUAAAUUUAAAUAUUUGGAGGAUAUUUUUUUUGUUAAAGAAGAAUAUCAAGAAUUUAAUUUAAAUUGAGGAUAUAGUUUAAAAAUAUUUUAAAUCAAAAAACUAGAGGGCCCCCCAAAAAAAUUAGAAUGAAAAUAUUUUUAGAGCGAAUAGAAAGGUAAUUUUGAGGUUUCUUGUUUUAAUCUCCAAAAACCCUUAAUUCCCUUUAAUCAUCACAAAAUAUUGUUAGCUCUUGUAAAAUUGGGAAGGUCGAAAACCCUAAAAAUUGUGAAGGUGUUAUGUUUUGUUCCACAGAAGAGGAAGAAGAAGGAAUGUCGAAGAAAAUGGUCACAAGGAGAGAGCUGUUGGACCGAUGGAGGGGCAUCGAAGAAGAAGACGAGGAUGACGACAUUGCAUCUGUAGACCCUCUCAAGCGACAUCGUUUCCGGCAGCUCAAAGAAGAAUGGUCUUGCUCCCAAUUUCAUCAAAAUUAUAUUUUCCCCAUUUUUACGUGCGCUUUAGUCCCUUUUCCUUUCUAUGCAGGUUUUCAGACGCAUUCAACCACUUGAUUUUUAUGCCCCAUGAAAAUCAUAUUUGGUGUGGUUCAUGGGAACUCAUGGGACCUCUUCUGGAGACUUUCUAUAAUUAUAACAAGGAUGAUCGCACCGAUUCUCCUCUAAAACUCCUACACGACAGAACAUCUAGGGAAAUGCGCCUGUGCACUCAAUGUAUAUGUCAAUACCAUCAAGCCCAAGAGCUUUACAGUACUGAAUAUGACCCAACUUCCAUUGGUCCUCUUCUUGAAGUUUUGCGCACCCUUGAUGAAGAAAGAAUCACUCAACAUCUUAAAGAUAUUAAUAACAGAAUAAGAUGCGGAGACUACGACAUAGUGCAUGGCAGUGGAGAAAUAGUUGGCAUCAUGUUUGAGGUGUUUCCAUUCAUACUUCUCCCUCCUUCCAAUGCUUAGUGGUCCAUCUUUGUGUCAUUCCUUUAUCCAGAAGUUGUAGCAGGAGAUGGAUUGUAUUCAGUUGAUGCAGCAUCCUUAAUUUUAAUUCUAAUAAAGGGGCACGUUUUCUGUCAUCAGAAAAAAAAAAGAAGAAGAAGAAGGAGAAGAAGGGCAAGUUUAAGCUUUAGAUUGCUCUUUAGGUAGAAAUAUGGCUGUAGAAAACUUUUCAUUAGCAGAGAAUUGCAAGAAGAAAGAAGAGAAUAUGUAAAGAGAGGGAAAAGAGAGGGGAGAGUAAGAGGUGACUGAGUUUGCUGCUGACCAAAAUUAAGAGAAAGGGAGGGAGAAAUCACAUUCAAAUAUCAAAUAUAUGUUCAUUGUAGAACUGCUCAUACUCAAUAUCAAGUCAUGAAUUAUCUAGGAGAUUUAGUGAUCUUCUUUCCGUCAACCAGCUGACACCUGCCAUCUAAAGUGCUGCACAAACUUUCCCCGUGUGGAUAGCUACUUAAAUAUCCUAAGAACUACACAGGAGAUUCCAGAACCUAAUGAAAUUGCUACAAUCAGAAAAUAAUACAAAAUGGACAUAGAAUACCUUAAACUUGAAGUCUUUAAGUUUAAAUUCUUGUCAUUAAGCUAGUAGGGUAUUUGGCUAAUGGAGGAAAAAGGGUUUUCCAUGUGAUGGUAGAUGUAUACUAUCCCCCCCAACAAAGUAUCUGUACAAGUUGAGUGCCUGACAAUAUAAUGAGCAGGGAAUAUCUGUCUUGUUGCUAAAAGAGAUGGAUUGAGCUGUCUGGUAAUCCAGCUCAAUCAUCUGUAAAUGUGCAUUAAUCAUUGCAUCAUGAGUAUGCAAAUACCACUAAAAAUGACAUGGCCAGCGCCGAUGGUCUGGUUACAGUGUGCACUUUUCAGGGGCUUCAUUGUGAAUGACAUCUUGGGUUGACUUGAUCAGCCAUACAGACUACAACACUUGAAAAUCAACCCUAACCAUGAGCAAUUUAAUUAAGCAUCGAUCUUCUGCUGCUAGGUGAAGUGAAUGACCAUGAGUAUCCUGAUUUAUUAGUAGCAAUACAAUUUUAGUUUACUUAACUGAUUUGAUGCUAAUUCCAUAUGUUAUUUUCUCAUUUUAUUUCAUUUCAUCUUGAUUUGUGAUCAUUUGUUAUUUUUAUUAUGUGAUGAUAUAGAGCUCUCUUUUCUGAGUUGCAGGUUUUAAUGUUCCCAAUUUUGUUAGAUGAUUCUUAUUUGGCAAGUGAAUUUGAAACAUUCAUUGACACAAUCGAUAAAACUCAUGAACUAACCUUGGGUGGACACCAACAGUAUCCGGUUCGACCUGCCUUUCUAUGCUUUAUGUUUCUACUUCAUAUUAUGCUUCAACUGUCUUCUGUUACAGUCAUAUUAAUUUGAUUUUUCCAUUUUUGUAUAGGGAGUUUAUGCGUUACUUUUCCAUAAAGGUCGAAGAGCUCGUUCUAUUGGUUUGCGACUGGCUGGACGCAUGAGUAAAUUGAGGUAUUGUAUCUAUUAGCUUUGUGUGUUGUCUAUAAUCAGUGGUUUGUAACUCAGCCAGUUCAACUAUAUGGUGGGGAUAGCCUAUUUUCUCUUCUUUCUUUUUGGUGCAUCAUAUGAUUCAUACAUGUAUACAUGAUUGGGUGUUAUUAUAGAAAAUCGUGUCUUCUUGUAAGGUUUUCUAUUUUUUGGGGUAUACUUGUUGAUACGGGCAAGCUUUUGCCGUUCUAUUAGUUAAAUUUAUUACUUUAUAGAAAAACCAUGUCGUCAUUUUUGGUUGAGCGAACAUGUACACAGUAAUUAAGUUUUGAUGUGGUAUAAGAGUACUUGACUCCUAGGUCUUUUUUGCUUCAAUUGGUAUGAAACUCAUACUAUCAGAUGCGAUUCCUUGGUUGUCAGUGCAUCUGUUCUUCGUUUACUUUAGCCUGCUGUUUUUUAUGCCUCCAACAAUUUGUGUCAAAUGUUUUUGGCGGUUAAGACUUACAUUAAUUGUAACUUUUUUUGAUGAAGACUUGACAAUGAUUAUAAAUACUUGGGAAAUGGGCCUGAUAUACCCCUCAACUUUGCCAUUUAGAGCUGAUAUGCCCCUCGUAUUAAAGUGACUCAUAUAUACCCUUACCGUUAUACAAAGUGGCUCAAAUACUUUGCACCUGACUGGGUUACUGUUCUGAAUUGCUUUGCAUAGUCAUCCCUUAGAUGAAAGAAAAAUCCAAGGUCAAAGAAGGCCACAUAGAUGUUGAAAUAAAUCUGUAGAACUCCUUCAGUGCUUAUAACUAUAAAUAUCACCUUAAAACUUAUCUUAACUGCUCGCUAUUAUAUUCUGCUAGAAAUUAUGCAAAGACUAUUGAAGGGGAACUACACUUUUGUUGAAGUAUACCUGUGGUUAUAUAGACUAAAGUUACCAGUUUCAAAAAAAAAAUUAUGCUAAGACUAUUCCAUUUCUUUCUUUUGGAGAUUCAUAUAGCAGGAUAGGUGUCUUCUUCCACCCAGAAAUCCAAUUUUGGUGGAAUUGUUUAAACACUUAAGAGCCUGUUUGAAUUGACUAUUAGUUUUUGACUCAUAAGCCAAAAUCAUAAGUUAAAAAUUCUAACUUAUGGCUUUUGGCUUAUUUUUAUCAUGUCAGCUUAAAACCAAGUGCUUAUAAGCACUUCUUUACUUUACCGAACACUCCAAAAGUGCUUUUGGCUUAAAAAAACUUUAAAAAGCCAAUCCAAACAUUCUCUAAGAAGACGAUUGUUUUAGGGCUUUACUUAAAAAAUGUUUUGAAGGACAUCAAAGCUUGUAGUUAUUGUGGGAUAUAAAUUGACUGAACACAUUACUAAACAACAUAGACACCACCAAUAAUGGGAAGAUUUUGCUUGGUGGGCUUUCCAGUAGAGAACACUAGAUUUUAUUUUUGAAAAGAUAACAUAUUCCUUUUGUGUAUAUAGAUAUCAGAGUAAAAAGUGCAUUGGUAACCAAAAUGGAGUGACUAAACGAGAUUGCCAAAAAAGAGAAACGCAAAUAAAUUACACAAAAUAGCCUUGCUCACCCUACGAGGAACCUAAUACAUCUAUGACUGCCUCAGGUUCAUCUAUGAAUUCAGAUUUUCACCUAAAAUUUGAAAGAAGAAUACAAUCAUCUUAAUUUGUUGUAAUUGCUACUUGUAUCUUCUAAACACCUUGAGUUGCUCUCCUCCCUUGUUGUCCACCAAUUAGUUGAUGUUACAUUUUUCCAUCUGUCUUUGCUACUGUUGCAGUUUCCACCUUUGUUCUAGAAUGCUACAACUCAAGGAGUUCUUCUUGGCACUGUCCAACUAGAAACUCCAGGAUUGAUGAGCAAAUUUGUUAAAUGUCUUGUAAUUCUGCUAUGUGAAUCAGAUGACUUAUGUUUCUUCCUCUUGCCCACACAACAAGAAGCAUCUUGAACAAUACUGUAUCCCCCUCUUUCUAGGUCCAUCAUGAGUUAGUAGCUUUACCUUUAUUUUAAAAAAAAGAUCACCACGAGUCAGCACAGCCUCUCUUUCAACCAACCAGGAGGAGCAAGCCACCUUAACUUUUCAAAUAUGUUUUCAUUGCCAAAAUGUAAUCUGGGAUUCAACCUGAUUCAAAUCCUUAUAAGCUGAAC
rnacentral:lncRNA from 1 species